GUUUAGUAGCUUCUCCUAAUGUGAUUUCCAUAAAAGUGCCUCGUGUGGCCGAAUCUAAAAGAUUUCUAGAAGCAGAAUUCAAUCCGACAUAAUUUUUUUGUAUGAUCAUCCAUGAACUUAAACCAUGAGUAGCGCAAUUUCGUAUCAUCAAUUUCAUCCUCUCCCAAGAUUGUGCAACAUUUUCAUGAUCAAGUUGCUUAAAAUUAAUUAUAUCGUGCCUAAGGGAGAUGAUCUUAGCGGGAGGAAAAUACUUGGAAAUAAAAGCAUCUUUACACUUAUUCCAUGAAUCAAUACUAUUUUUAGGCAAAGGUGAAAACCAAGUUUUAGCACGAUCUCGUAGUGAGAACGGAAAUAGCUUCAAUUUAACAAUAUCAUUAUCCACAUCUUUCUUCUUUUGCAUAUCACACAACUCAAUGAAAGUAUUUAGAUGGGAUGCGGCAUCUUCGCUAGGAAGGCCGGAAAAUUGAUCUUUCAUAACAAGAUUCAACAAAGAAGCAUUGAUUUCAUAAGAUUCCGCACUAGUGGCGGGAGCAAUCGGAGUACUAAUAAAAUCAUUAUUAUUAGUAUUGGAAAAAUCACACAAUUUGGUAUUAUCUUGAGACAUCGUGACAACAUAAGCAAUCUAACACAUGAGCAACCAAAAAGCAAACGAAAAGCAAAUGAAAAGACGAACAGAAGAAGGGCGAAUAAAAAGGCAAUUUUUUUGUAUUUUUCUGAAUACGUUUUAGAAGUGGGGGAGAGGAAAACGAGAGGCAAAUGGAAAAUGCAAGAUAUGAGAGUUUAUGAUGGGUACUUUGUAGGCUUGAUGUGGAUCUCCCCAGCAACGGCGCCAGAAAUUCUUACUGCUACUUCCCGACCUUGCGUUGGUUUUUCCUUUGAAGAGGAAAGGGUGAUGCAGCAAAGUAGAGAUAAGUAUUUCCCUCAGUUGAGAACCAAGGUAUCAAUCCAGUAGGGGAUACAAGCAAGUCUCCAAUCUAUGCACUUGCACAAACAAUCAAACACUUGCACCCAAUGCGACAAAGGGGUUGUCAAUCCCUUCACGGUCACUUGCAAUGGUGAGAUCUGAUGGAGAUAGAUGUAAAAGAUUACUAAAACGUAAAACAAAAUAAAAGUAAAUAAAUUGCAGCAAGGUAUUUUUGGGUUUUUGGUUUAUAGAUCUGAAAACAUAUGAUGAAAUAUAGACCCGGGGCCAUAGGUUUCACUAGAGGCUUCUCUCUUGAAGGAAAAUAAUACGGUGGGUGAACAAAUUACUGUCUAGCAAUUGAUAGAAAAGUGCAAAAUUAUGACGAUAUCCAAGGCAAUGAUUAUGCAUAUAGGCAUCACGUCUGUGUCAAGUAAACCGACUCCUGCCUGCAUCUACUACUAUUACUCACACAUCGACCGCUAUCCAGCAUGCAUCUAGAGUAUUAAGUUCAUAAAGAAUGGAGUAACGCCUUAAGUAAGAUGACAUGAUGUAGAGGGAUAAACUCAAGCAAUAUGAUGAAAACCCCAUCUUUUUACACUAGAUGGCAACAAUAGAAUACGUGUCUCGCUACCCCUACUUUGUCACUGGGUGAAAUCACGCAAGAUUGAACCCAAAACUAAGCACCUCUCCCAUUGCAAGAAAAACCAAUCUAGUUGGCCAAAAAAACCGAUAAUUCGAAGAGAAAUACAAAGAUAUCAAACCAUGCAUAUAAGAAUUCAGAGAAGAUUCAAAUAAUAUUCAUAGGUAAGCUAAUCGUAAAUCCACAAUUCAUCGGAUCUCGACAAACACACCGCAAAAGAAGAUUACAUCGGAUAGAUCUCCAAGAACAUCGGGGAGAACAUUGUAUUGAAGAUCAAAGAGAGAGAAGAAGCCAUCUAGCUACUAGCUAUGGAACCGUAGGUCGGUAAACUACUCACGCUCCAUUGGAAGGGCAAUAGAGUUGAUGUAGAUGCCCUCCGUGAGCGAAUCCCCCUCCGGCAGGGUGCCGGAAAAGGCCCCAAGAUGGGAUCUCACGGGAACAGAAGGUUACGGCAGCGGAAAAGUAUUUUGGUGGAUGCUUCUGGUGCUUUUGGAAUAUUUGAGGAUUUAUAGAGUUGAGAGGGAGGUCGGUGGACUCCCGUGGGGCCCACAAGUGAGGGCCCCCCUAGGGCGCACCCUGAGGGCUUGUGGAGCCCUCGGGAUUCUUCUGACUUGGCCUCCAAGUUCCGUGGAUGUCUUCUGGUCCAAGAAAAAUCCGUAAAGUUUUAUUCUAUUUGGACUCCGUUUGAUAAUCCUUUUCUGUAAAACUCAAAAACAAGGAAAAACAGAAACUGGCACUGGGCUCUAGGUUUAGGUUAGUCCCAAAAAUAAUAUAAAAUAGCAUAUUAAUGCAUAUAAAACAUCCAAAACAGAUAAUAUAAUAGCAUGGAACAAUCAAAAAUUAUAGAUACGUUGGAGACGUAUCACACGCGUCCUGCAUCAAGAAUCAUUUGUCCAACCGAAUGCCCUAUCCGUCGUGCGUGGUUGCCUCGAUAAUUAAGAUUAUAAUAAUCAGACAAGAGCUUUGGGCGUUUAAUGACUACACCUCUUGAAUCCCCAGAGAUUGGCUUAACCCUUCUGUCACCGAUGUUCAGAAUAACACUUCACGGUCUACCUGCCCUUAGACUCUCCUUGGCCCACUCUCCAUGAUCCUGGGUACCUGCAGGGAUGUGGAACACAGACGAGACAAGAGACAUCUACGGAACAAUUUUAUUUCGCACAAACGGGAUGUUAAUUCAAAGCACCUACAUUGAUCCCCACAACAAAUGCAGAGGGUUGCAAGGCCUUUUCCUCAACCCAUACCUUACCGAACUACUUACACAUGGAGAUCAGAUCACACGAAUAACGCAUUGAAGAACACAUCACGGAGAUUGAUUGAUUGAUAAUAUUUCUUACAAUGGAUGUCGUGUGCGAUGCACGAUUACAAGUGUGAUCUAGAGGAAUAUGAACUAUGGUGGUGAUGGUGGCUAUGGAGACGGGAAUGGUGGCGGCCAGGGUUGAUGAAGAGGGAUGAAGAUAUCUCUGUUCUGGCUUUGCUCUGGAUGUUCUGUUUUUUCGAGAUGAAGAGGGAAUGGUGCUCUGGAUGUUUUUUUUGAGACGGUCAAAGCCCUUUGACCAGACGGUAACGGCGCAAAAGGGCAUUUUUGUAAGGGCACCUAACGACAGAGGGGCAAAUUUGAGCAGGCUUUGAAAUUAGGGGCAAACCUGAGUAGGUGGUUCGAGUUAGGGACAUAAAUGCAAACGGCCCAAAAAUAAAAUAGGAAAAAGAAAAGAAAACAAAAAAGCAUAGAAAACGGGAAGAAAAAUGGAAACAAAAAUAAAAAACCUACUGAGACCUUCUAGAACCAUAACCUUCUGUGAUAAAGGAAGUGCAGUACGUAGUAUGCCCUGUAUGGGCUAGCCCGUUACAAAGGUGGUGUGAGUAUCAUGUAUGAAAAUGCCAUGUAAGAGUAUCUACAGCCGGACUUGGCAAAUCCGGCCCCUCAAACACCCGCGGACGGGCCUAGGCACGCCCGCGGACGCAUUCAGACAGGCCCUUAUAUUUCGUUCCGGCAUCCACAUAUCUCAAAUCCGGACUCUCAAAUCCAUGCAAAUACAUGCACAUCGAUCAUGCAACAGAAUGUCUCACGUAAAUAGCUAUUGUUCUAUCAAGCAUGCAUAGCGUUUACAAUAAUUCCGGCCGGUCAAUGUGUCGAACACAUCAAGCGCAAGGCGGAUCCGGAGAGUUGCCGGACGUACCACGGUGGCAUCUGGGCCGGCGACGACGUCCCCGCGGCGAGGACGGGAGCGCUCUUCCGGACUUACUGGCGGAGAGCCUGGGAAUGGCUGUGGAGCAGGCGGAGCUGCGAGCCGGACGACACGGAGGAGGAAGAAGAGAGGAGAGAGCAAAUGGAUCCGGCAGCUCGCGGGGUGGAUUUGGUGCAAUUUGGGGUGGGGUUGGGCUGUCGGGUUGGACGUGAUGGGCGUGCCCAGACGCCCCAUAUCCGCCCCAUAUUUGGGCUGGAUAUGGGGGUGCUGGUCAGCCCGGGCCUUGAAAGCAAUCAUGUGGCCUGAGGGCCAAACGGCUGUUGCGGCCUUGAAAGCAAUCAUGUGGCCUGAGCGCCAAACGGCUGUUGCGGCCUUGAAAGCAAUCAUGUGGCCGAGCGCCAAACGGCUGUUGCGGCCUUGAAAGCAAUCAUGUGGCCUAAGCGCCGAAUGGCUGUUGCGACCUUGAAAGCAAACAUGAGGCUUGUGAGCCAACGGCUAUUGCAGCCUUAAAAGCAAAUAUGCGACCUAUGAGCCAACUUUUUUUGGUCAUGCCUUGAAAGCUGGCCUAACGAAUAUUUGAGAUUUGCAUAUUUUCUGUUUUGGUUUUCAAAUGUUUUUAUGCCACAGGUACGCAUCGGUGCUAUACAAACGGUUUUUAACCCCUUUCCGGGACGGCGUUCGGAACCGUCACCUAGUGAGUGUGGGCGAUAGGGGGGUCCUUCCCACAUGACCCAGAAACCGUCGAGGGUAUGCCCUCCUGGCACACACGCUCGGCAAAAUAAGGUCGUGUGCGACCGGCGAGCACUCAAAUACAGAAAUACAUACAGUAGUGCUAAAAAAUACAAUUAUACAGGCGAAAUCAUUUCCGGUCUUAAGUACAUCCCACACAGUUAGUCACCGCUAAACGUUUCCGUUCGUAUAUACAUCCCACACAGUCACUCCAAGGAAAACGUUUGCGCAAGGUGGCGUAACGCAAACAGUUUUCAACAGAAUGUCGUGUGUGAUUGUUCAUUGAUCCAACAUGGUUUAUUCCUAGAAACUGUGUGUGUUGCCUGAGGUCAUCGACCACGGUGUUUUCUUAAUAACCGUUUGCAAUAGGAAAACCGAAUUAGCGGGCUAAUUGCCUUAUUAUUAAUAACCCAUUUACUAAUCUAAUUGACAUUCAUAUUAAGCACAUAAUAUAUUCCAUUUCCAUAUUAAGGAAGCAGGAUUUCAUAAUUGAAAUACAUCGGAGUACAACAUGAUAGAGCUUCAGCACUCAGCUAGCCCAUUACACAACUGCACUAGUAGCAAGUUUCACAUGCAACAUCUAGAACCUUUCAAAAUUAGCAUCAUAGACGGUACAUAGAGAGAUGCAUCUCAUCUGGAAAACUGCUGAAGCAGAAGGCGAAUAUUGAGCCUUCAUUCAUGUUGAAGGUCUUUGCAACUUUAGGCCAGUGCCUGUGGAUGAUUGACCGUCCAUCCUUCGACCUCUUCAGGAACACUUCAAUAUUGAACCAUGGGUGUUGUAUGAAAACUUUCCUCGCCUCCUGACCACAGAGGUGGUUUGAGAGGUAAUCAUCAGUGAAGCCUGAAAACAAGGAUGUGCAUAAAUAUCUUCUCUAUAUUAGAAAUGGGGCAAAGGAAUAAAAAAGGCAAGGUAUAAUAGUUAGUACCAUCUUUUAAACCUUAGUGCUUCCCAUUGUUUCCCUGCAACACAUAUAAGGUAGUUAGUCAUCAGGUUAAGCAAGGGUUCGCAUGCUAUCAGUAAAAUAUGUUGAUGAUAAAUAAGCACAUUGCAAAUUCAUCAGAUUAGUUCAAGCCACAUGGAAAACCCAUUUAUCCAAACCAAGCAUGAUUAAGAACUAGGAAAUAUAGCACUUGUAUAUGUUUCUCAUGUAUUAAGUGCAGCCAAAUUCGAUUUAUUCCUCGCAUGGUAUACAAUAACAGAAUGCAGCCACAACAAUUGAACAUCGCAUUGCAGAAUUGAACCAAGCAGUUAACUAAACACCACAACAAAUGAACCAAACGUUAACUGAGCACCACAUUGCACAAUAUAACAUACUCCUAAUAGAAGAUCAGACAGUUAACCAAACCAAGCAUGCUUAACAACUUGGAAAUAUUGCACCCUGAAGAAUUGAACAUCACAUUUGCAGAAUUGAACCAAGUAGUUAACUGAACACCACAUUGCACGACAUAUAGAACAUAUACACUAUAGCAGAAGAUUGCAUGGUAAAAGUAGAUAGCACAAUUCACUAGAAUUUUUUAAGGAAAGGCAUUGGCUAGCAAACUGAACAUGGGUCCUUAUAGUGAGCUAAUAAGACAAGCUACUCCUCAAUGUUGGAGAUAUCGAUGACGAUUGGCUCCUUGGACAUGGAAGAGGGCGAGGCCUCCGCAUCGUGGGUGCCCUCGUUGUAGCGGUGAGUUGCCUGAGCCGCUCCGGGCACCAACCUGCUGGCUCUCGAGAUGAGGUAAGCACGUGCACGCUGCGAAAACACCUCGUAGUCUUUGUCAAAGGCACCGACGGUGGCCUCGAGAAAACACCACGAACUAUUGUUUAAAGCAGCCAACCGCGUCGCGGCGUUGGUGCGCGAGGCGUCAAUGGUGGCCUCGAUGGCGAGGUGCUCCUCCAAGAUCUGGGGGUCGGCACGAAUGGCAGCCAUCGCAACCUCAUCCGCGCGUGCGGCCGCGAUUUGCUUCUCCGCUGCCAGAUGCUCCCUGAGAUCCUGGCUAUACUACGUGCACCAUGGCUUAGGCCAGCGCUUAUUUGGUGGAGGGGUUGGUGAUUUGGGUGGAAGGUGUUGCGCUCGCGCCGGCGGUCGGGGCAUGUGGGAUGUGGAAGGAGGAGGAGGAUGGGGGUCGGGUGUGGAAUACCUGCCUGGAUAGGCGAGGCUGAGCAGCGUGAAGGAGGGUCGCCGGCGAGGAGGCGAUGCUGCAAGCAAGGAGUGAAGGUUUCAACUUGGAAAGGAAGGCGGAAACAGGGGAAAUGUGGCUUUUGGUAAGGAGGAGGGGGCGGGCAGGUAGAUAUUUCCGCGGAAGCCGAAAAUUUGGAAUCGCUUCAGCGAAAAAACUGGCGCGCAAAGUGUCAUCAGACACGGUCCCUUAUUCAGAGCGGGCUGUGGACUGUAGCCGUCGCACCUUCUCGCGUAAGCCGUAUGCGUACUAUACUCCGAUGAUGCUCCAAGAUAUUUUGUGCUGCAUCUCACACGGUUGGUUAUAAUAAACUAUGUGGGAUCUACUUGAUUUUUCGUCUUGAUUUGAAUUACAUAAUGGGGUCACAGCGGCCAUGCACGGUGUUUGAAUUGCUAGACCUUUUAUCUGUAGUGAACAUGCAACUAUAUAUGUGUCAUAAAAGAAUUGUAAUUAUUCAGGGUUUGUUUGGACAUUUUUACGCAUUAACUGAGUUUUCAAUGCAUUUAUGUGCAUAUUUCAAAUUUGAACUACAUGCACAUGCUCUAAUGCAUAUAAAUUGGUUGAAGAUUCAAAUAUGUGUCCUUGGGUGCAUGCUUAGGUCCCAUGUAAGAAAUUGGAAUGAAUUUCAAACACCAGGGCGACGUUGAUUGCCGGCAAAACAUUGAGAUACUUUGUUUUUAAAUUCUAGUAAAUCCAAAACUCGUCUGAAAUUCAUGAAACUUGGCAUGCUUUCAUGGAAUGGCAUCAACAUGCCAUGGUAAUUUUUUUGUCCCAUUGGGGGCAGGUUUGGAUAUAUGCUUCUCACAAACCAGAGCUUCUCACAAACUAGAGCUUCUCACAAACCAGAGCUUCUCACAAUAAGCAUGAUGGUUUCGGUAGGGAACGCCCCACCUUUGGGGAUGAAACGAUAUCCAUUGCCUCUUAUUGGUUUCAAAUUUUUUUCUUGUGUCAACAUAGAACAGCAGGAGUGUUGUGUUAUUUUUUGUGAUUUUUUCGGGGUUCAUUUGGACAUUUUUAUGCAUUAAGUGAGUUUUCAAUGCAUUUAUGUGCAUAAUUCAAAUUUGAACUACAUGCACAUGCUCCAGUGCAUAUAAAUUGGUUGAAAAAUCAAAUCUUUGUCCUUGGGUGCAUGCUUAGGUCCCAUGCAAGAAAUGGGAAUGAAUGUCAAACACCCUGCCACCGUCACUCGGCAGCAAACAUUGAGAUACCUGGUUUUUAAAUUCUAGUAAAUCCAAAACUCGUCUGAAAUUCAUGAAACUUGGCAUGCUAUCAUGGAGUGGCAUCAACAUGUCGUGGUAAUUUUUUGUCCCAUUUGGGGCAGGUUUGGGUAUAUGCUUAUCACAAACCAGAGCUUCUCACAACAAGCAUGAUGGUUUCGGUAGGGAACGCCCCACCUUUGGAGACGAAACGAUAUCCAUUGCCUCUUAUUGCUUUCAAAAAAUUUCUCGUGUCAACAUAGAACAACAGGAGUGUUGUGUUAUUUUUUGUGAUUUUUCGGGGUUCGUUUGGACAUUUUUAUGCAUUAACCGAGUUCUCAAUGUGUGCAUAAUUCAAAUUUGAACUACAUGCAAUGCUCCAGUGCAUAUAAAUUGGUUGAAAAAUCUAAUCUUUGUCCUUGGGUGCAUGCUUAGGUCCAAUGCAAAAAAUGGGAAUGAAUUUCAAACACCAGGGCACCGUUGAUUGCCGGCAAAACAUUGAGAUACUUUGUUUUUAAAUUCUAGUAAAUCCAAAAAUCAUCUGAAAUUCAUGAAACUUCGCAUGCUAUAAUGGAAUGGCACCUGACAUGCUGUGUUAUUUUUCGUGUCCAUUUUGAGAGAAGGCGCACUCGAAUAACAGCCAACAAAGGCAUUUUGAAAAAAUAGCUGCCACUUAAAUAUCUCAAACGUUUGUAUAAUUCAAACCAUGUGCGUUAUGUUAACCAUUCACGUGACGCCACGUGUCUUGGUUUUAAUGGCUUAAUGGCUCUUGAUCGCAAACGUUUUAGAUAGAACACCCAUAUGCAAAGUGAGAGCAGGAUUUGUGCAUCACUUGAACACAAACGGUUCUUUUGGAUGACCCAUGUGAACCACUUACAAACAUUUUGGUGCGAUUUGCAUCUGUCAUAUUGGGUAUGUUGCCAUUUGUCAAACUAUAAAGAUUGACAUUUGUUGAUCUAGUAACAUUGCCAUUUGCCAACCUUGUAACACUGCGAUUUGUCAAAAUAUGAAGCUAAAAAUCACUAGUAGUAUCUAAUUUUUGCAACUAAAAUUCAGUAAUUAAGCAUAGAUGGAAGCGAGGAGGCGUGUUCAGCCGGGCGUGCAGCGGGCAGCGCAGUACUAUUUGAUUGGACAGCGGGCAGCGCAGUUCCCGAUACGGCUUUAAUGCAGACGAGGGAGAGGGUAGCAGUUCCCGAAAUGUUGCGGCCAAUGAUGCAUCCUCCUUCAAUUAGCAUCGUGUGAAUGCAUGAGGUAAGUAAUGGGAGGAGGACCAGGAAAAGAGGCAGCACGAUGUGAAUGAAACGCAGUUUGCACUCAUAUAAAGGCGCCCCUCCAUUCCAAUGCAUCUACCACAUCGUACACACCUAAGCAUUUGCCUAAGCACCUACACUAAUAAGCGCAAAAGUGCUCACUCCAGACCCAUGGCAGCGAUGCGCGCGAGCGGCCAGCGGCUGUGCCAGAUGGUCCACGACGCCGGCCUGCGGCAUGGCACCGUGGAUCGUCUCCACACGGUGUUGGCGACCGGCUGGUCGAUGGCCGCCGUCGACGCCAGCUACGACUCUCAGUACGACUAGAUGAUCGUUCGCACCACCAACAGGUUCACCGUCGUCAAGAAGCUCAUGGACGACAUCGCCGUACUCCUCUAGCCCACGCGCCCGGGCUCCUCAUUGCCUGCCACGCUAAUCGGCCUCCAUGGUCGGAACCUCUUUCAAGCACUGGUGGCCCUGUGACUGCCUGCCGACGCCAAGAAUGUCCACCUGGAGGUCGCGCUCGCCGCGAGGCGCCUCACCCUGCAAGAAACCAUAGACCUACACAUCUAUGUGUACGAGCAAAUCGUGUACAUAGGUAUCUACAAGGUCAGUGAGGACGCUACAACGUUGGCCUUCUUCAACCGGCUGGAAGCCUUGGAUGCUUUAGUGUAGGAUCGAAAGUAUGUCUAGAGGGGGGGUGAUUAGACUACUUGACCAAAUAAAAAUCUAGCCUUUUCCCAAUUUUAAGUCUUGGCAGAUUUUAGCAACUUAGCACAACUCAAGUAAUCAACCUACACAUGCAAUUCUAAGAGUAUAGCAGCGGAAUGUAAAACAAUUGCAUAUGAAGGUAAAGGGAGGAGUUUGAGGGAGCAAAUGCAAUGUUGACACGGAGAUUUUUUAUCCGUGGUUCCGAUAGGUGGUGCUAUCGUACAUCCAUGUUGAUGGAGACUUCAACCCACGAAGGGUAAUGGUUGCGCGAGUCCACGGAGGGCUCCACCCACGAAGGGUCCACUAAGAAGCAACCUUGUCUAUCCCACCAUGGCCGUCGCCCACGAAGGACUUGCCUCACUCGGGUAGAUCUUCACAAAGUAGGCGAUCUCCUUGCCCUUACAAACUCCUUGGUUCAACUCCACAAUCUUGACGGAGGCUCCCAAGUGACACCUAGCCAAUCUAGGAGACACCACUCUCCAAGAGGUAAUAGAUGGUGUGUUGAUGAUGAACUCCUUGCUCUUGUGCUUCAAAUGAUAGUCUCCCCAACACUCAACUCUCUCACAUAGGAUUGGAUUUGGUGGAAAGAUGAUUUGAGUGGAAAGCAACUUGGGGAAGACUAGAGAUCAAGAUUUAUGUGGUUGGAAUGGAAUAUCUUGACCUCAACACAAGUGUAGGUGGUUCUCUUUCAGAAAAUGUAUGUUGGAAGUGUAGGCAUGUUCUGAUGGCUCUCUCCACGAAUGAAGAGUGGGUGGAGGGGUAUAUAUAGCCUCCACACAAAAUCUAACCGUUACACACAAUUUACCAAACUCGGUGGGACCGAUUCAAAGAACUCAGUCAGACCGAUUUAGUUCAAAAUGUGAACGUUAGGAUUUUCGGUGGGACCGAUUUCGUUAGGGUUAGGGCAUAACGUAAUCUUGGUGAGACCGAUUACACAAACUCGGUGAGACCGAUUUUGGUAAUAGACUAACCAGAGUUGGUCAGGCAAACUCGGUGGGACCUAUUCGCACAUCUCGGUUGGACCGAAACGUUACGAAAGGGAAACAGAGAGUUUGCAUUGCAAUCUCGGUGGGACCGAUCGCUCAUCACAGUUUGAACGAAACGUUAUGAAGGGAAACAAAGAUAUUACAAUCCCAUCUCGGUGAGACCGAGAUCCCUAUCGGUGAGACCAAAAAGACUAGGGUUUGUGGCAGUGGCUAUGUCAAGUGAACUCGAUGGCCCCGGAUAGAUCAAAUCGGUGGGGCCGAGUUUGACUUUUGGUUCGGGACAUAUGUGGAUAUGAGAAAGUAGCUGAGGGCUUUGGAGCAUAUCACUAAGCAUUUUGAGCAAGAAACUCAUUAAUCAACACCUCACCCCUUCUUAAUAGUAUUGUCUUUUCCUAUGGACUCAAUGUGAUCUUGGAUCACUAAAAUGAAAAAUGUAGAGUCUUGUGCUUUGAGCUUGAGCCAAUCCUUUUGUCCUUAGCAUUUUAAGGGGUCCACUUUCUUAACCCAUGCCAUGCCAAUCAUUGAGCUUUCCUGAAAUAUUUAUCUUGAAAUAGCAUUAGCUCAAUGAGCUAUAUGUUGUUAGGAAUUACCAAAACCACCCAGGGAUAGUUGCACUUUCAAUCUCCCCCUUUUUGGUAAUUGAUGACAACAUAUAGAUCAAAGCUUCGACAAAUGAUAAUAAGAUUGAAGUACAUCUUCGCUUUGACAAGUAUGUGAUAAGCAAGAGCUCCCCCUAAAUUUGUGCAUUAUUUAAGAUUUGCUUUUGAAUGCAAAUGCACAAUCGAUUAGGAUCAUGGGUUACUCUUCCAUGUCACAUACAUCUUGGUGGAGCGCCCAAAAUGAUAGAAAUUAAAAGCAUGCACUCAUCACCAAGCAAGUGAAUGAUCAUAUAUGAGAUAUGAGAGAUAGUAUCAUCCAAACAAGCAUUAAGGGUAGCAUAUGAUCAAACACAUGAUCAAACAAGUAUCUCACAAGGACAUAAAGUAUCUCACACAAGCACACAAUCAAGAAGUUCAACCAAAAUAGCAAGAGAGAUAAAAAAAGCAACACUCUCUCUCGAAGCCUAUGAUCUAUACAUUUUUCUCCCCCUUUGGCAACAAGUUACCAAAAAGUUCAAAAAUGCAUAGUGCUAAACGUCUCUCAGGCUUGACCUUCGGGAGGUGGUGUAGAUAGAACUCCAAGGACGAAGGCAUCUGUUGAAGUAGUUGGAGCUGGUGGAGUGGCUGCUGUAGGUGGCACUGGAGCUGUAGCUCUAGAAUCUCUCACUGGCACUGCAGCAGACCUUUGUCCUCUAGGCACUCGCUCAAAAGCAUCAGUAGUUGCCUUGCCCUUCUUCUCCUCUGCUUCCUCCUGAUGCUGCUCAACUGCUGUCUGAAUCUCAGUUACCUUGACAUCAAGAUCAUAGAAUUUCUGCUCAAUGAUCCUCUCCAAGCUCUCCUGGUUUUGAGUCAGGGUGGCCAAGCCCUUCUCAAUCCUCAGUGUAGACUGGAUCAGAUAUGCAAGCUGGUCUUGCUUGCUCUUCAAGAACACUUGAUAUGCCUCUUCAGCAGUUGGCAUCUUUGCAGCUUUCUCUGCCCUUGCCUUCUCUCUCUUCUCAUGUGCUUGCACUGAAGAUGGAUCUUCCUCAGUCAUGACAACAAUGUUGUCCUCAAAGUCUGGCCUGAGUGGUAAAUUCUCUUUGUCCAAUAGAUAUUUGCCUAUGCCCAUCUUGGAGUUGAUGAGCUCCUGAAUUUGUGGAGCAUACCCACAAGAUCUCUUCUGAUCUACAGCUGUCCUUUUGAUUGUUUCCACAAUCAGACUCAUCACAUUGAACUUUUGAGGAACAUUAAAUAUAUGCAGCAAGUUGAUGGAGUGGCCUCUGAUCAUCCUGUGAUCACCUGACUUUGGUAGCAAUGUGUGCCUUAGGAUCCAAUUGAUUGUAGGCAGACCUGACAACAAGUGCUUUACAGAACCAAACUUGUGUGUCUCAAGGUCUGCAUCAGGAAUCUCCUUGUACAUGUGUGCCAUAGAGUUGUGAUCCUUCUUCUUCUUGGCAUAGACAUCCAAAUCAUCUUCAUGAGCUUCUGGAGCAUUGAUCAAACUGGCCCACUCAUCAACUGUAGAUUGGUACCUUGUACCCUCUGACAUCCAUACAAUCCUUCCAUCUGGAUAGAAAUGAGCAGUCGAAUAGAAUUGCAUGAUCAACUCAUCAUUCCACUUGGUGAGCUUUUGGCCAACAAACUUGUCAACCUCACAAGAUUUGAAGCUGUCAUAAACUCCUGGAAAAUGAUCUUCAUUUUCUUUGAUGUACUCUGAUGUCUACUACGCAACCUUCUUCUUGUAGACGUUGUUGGGCCUCCAAGUGCAGAGGUUUGUAGGACAGUAGCAAAUUUCCCUCAAGUGGAUGACCUAAGGUUUAUCAAUCCGUGGAAGGCGUAGGAUGAAGAUGGUCUCUCUCAAGCAACCCUGCAACCAAAUAACAAAGAGUCUCUUGUGUCCCCAACACACCCAAUACAAUGGUAAAUUGUAUAGGUGCACUAGUUCGGCAAAGAGAUGGUGAUACAAGUGCAAUAUGGAUGGUAGAUAUAGGUUUUGUAAUCUGAAAUUAUAAAAACAGCAAGGUAACUAAUGAUAAAAGUGAGCGUAAACGGUAUUGCAAUGCUAGGAAACAAGGCCUAGGGUUCAUACUUUCACUAGUGCAAGUUCUCUCAACAAUAAUAACAUAAUUGGAUCAUAUAACUAUCCCUCAACAUGCAACAAAGAGUCACUCCAAAGUCACUAAUAGCGGAGAACAAACGAAGAGAUUAUGGUAGGGUACGAAACCACCUCAAAGUUAUUCUUUCUGAUCGAUCUAUCAUAGAGUUCGUACUAGAAUAACACCUUAAGAUAAAAAUCAACCAAAACCCUAAUGUCACCUAGAUACUCCAAUGUCACCUCAAGUAUCCAUGGGUAUGAUUAUACGAUAUGCAUCACACAAUCUCAGAUUCAUCUAUUCAACCAACACAAAGAACUUCAAAGAGUGCCCCAAAGUUUCUACCGGAGAGUCAAGACAAAAACGUGUGCCAACCCCUAUGCAUAGGUUCAUGGGCGGAACCCGCAAGUUGAUCACCAAAACAUACAUCAAGUGGAUCACGUGAUAUCCCAUUGUCACCACAGAUAAGCACAGCAAGACAUACAUCAAGUGUUCUCAAAUCCUUAAAGACUCAAUCCGAUAAGAUAACUUCAAAGGGAAAACUCAAUCCAUUACAAGAGAGUAGAGGGGGAGAAACAUCAUAAGAUCCAACUAUAAUAGCAAAGCUCGCGAUACAUCAAGAUCGUAUCACCUCAAGAACACGAGAGAGAGAGAGAGAGAGAGAGAGAGAGAGAGAGAGAUCAAACACAUAGCUACUGGUACAUACCCUCAGCCCCGAGGGUGAACUACUCCCUCCUCGUCAUGGAGAGCGCCGGGAUGAUGAAGAUGGCCACCGAUGAGGGAUUCCCCCUCCGGCAGGGUGCCGGAACAGGGUCCCGGUUGGUUUUUGGUGGCUACAGAGGCUUGCGGCGGCGGAACUCCCGAUCUAUUCUGUUUUCUGGAGGUUUCAGUAUUUAUAGGACUUUUUGGCGUAGGUCUCACGUCAGGGGGGUCUCCGGGUUGUCCACGAGGCAGGGGCCCACGCCCAGGGGGGUGGGCGCGCCCCCACCCUUGUGGGCAGCCCGGGACUCUCCUGGCCCAACUCUUUUACUCCGGGGGCUUCUUUUGGUCCAUAAAAAAUCAUCAGAAAUUGGCACGUCAAUUGGACUCCGUUUGGUUUUCCCUUUCUGCAAAACUUAAAAACAAGGAAAAAAAGAAACUGGCACUGGGCUCUGGGUUAAUAAGUUAGUCCCAAAAAUAAUAUAAAAGUGCAUAGUAAAGCCCAUUAAACAUCCAAGAUGGAUAAUAUAAUAGCAUGAAUACUUCACAAAUUAUAGAUACGUUGUAGACGUAUCAGCAUCCCCAAGCUUAAUUCCUGCUCGUCCUCGAGUAGGUAAAUGAUAAAAGAAAUAAUUUAUGAAGUGUGAAUGCUAUUAGGUGCACAAGUCUGAUCAAUGAUAAUUUCAAUCACCUUUUCUGGCAUCAUUAUAUGUCAUAACAGUAGCUCAUAUCAUAAAGCUUCUUAUGAUCAAGUAACAAGCUAUUCACAUGUUAAAGUAUAGAUUAUAAACUUUCUUGAAAACUAACAAACAGUUCUCAGUCAUCAAACAAUUGCAAUUCAUCUUAUUUUCAGGAAGGGUCUAUGUAAGAGAUUUGAUUUAGCAAAUCCCACAUACUCAACUAUCAUAUAGUCUUCCAUGAUUGCUACCACUCAAAGCAUAUUUUUAGAACAAAUAGUAUUCAUCGAACACAGAGAAAGAUAGGGGCUUAAUGUUUCGCCUCCCAACCUUUUACCUCAAGGGUAAUGUCAACAGUAAUAAUUAAUGCUCAAAUAUAUUUGAAUGGCCAUAUAUGCUUGCCAACUAAAGAGUAGGUUGGAAUGAGAAGCAAUACUACUGACUCUUGCAUAAAAGUAAAAGAUAGGCCCUUCGCAGAGGGGAGCAGGGAUUUGUAGAGGUGCCAGAGCUCGAAGCAAAAACAGAGAUGAAAAUAAUUUUGAGAGGUAUGCUUUCAUUGCCAACAUAACGACCAAGAGUUCCCAAUAUCUUCCAUACUAGAUACAUUAUAGGCGGUUCCCACACAGAAAGGUAAAGUUUUUACUCCCCCUCCACCAACAUUCACACUCCACGGCUUGUCCGAAACAACGGGUGCUGUCCAACUAUCAACAUUCCUAGGGGAGUUUUGUUUAAAUUAUUUGCGAUUUUGUUUUUGAUCCUUUGAUCAUAGGACUGGGCAUCCCAGUUACCAGCCAUUUUCUCGUGAAUGAUGAGCAGAGUCCACUCAUCGUGAGAAUAACCCACCUAGCAUGGAAGAUACUGACAACCCCUAGUCGCUACAUGAGCGAUUUGGGCAUACAAAACAGAUUAUUAUUUGAAGUUUUAGAGUUUGGCACAUGCAAAUUUACUUGGAACGGCAGGUAAAUACCGCAUAUAGGUAGAUAUGGUGGACACUCAUGGAAGAAACUUGGUUCAAGGAAUUUGGAUGCACAAGCAGUAUUCCCGCUUAGUACAGAUAUUUUGGCUAGCAAAGGAUUCUAAUAGCAAGCACCACAUGUUAGAGGAUCCAUAACAAUAUAACUUCUAUACAAAUAUACCCAAGCAUAACUCAUUAUGUUGUCUUCCUUGUCCAACUUCAACUACUUUGCUCAGGUGUGAAAAUAAUUAAUGGGGCUCACAACCAUAGAAGAUGUCCAAGAUAGUAUAUUUAUAUGUGAAAUCUCUCUUCCUUCAAUAUUCUUUCAUGAAUUGUUCAAGUGACCAAUACAAUGUUUGCUAACCUUCAAUAAAUUUACCACCUCUACUUCUUAUAUGUGGAGGCAUUACUCCCCAUGGGAAAGGCAUAUGAAACAUAUAUAAUUUCAGAUUUAUGACAUUCAAAUCAUUCAACCAUUUACUCAUAGGAUAUAAGUGAAGCACGUGAGUAAAUGACAAACUACUCCAAAAAGAUAUAAGUGAAGAUCAAUGAGUAGUUAAAUAAUUAUAUAGCUAUGUGAAGACUCUCUCUCAUUUAAGAAUUUCAGAUCUUGGGAUAUUAUUCAAACAGCAAGAAAAUCUAAAGAAAAUAAAAUGACGCUCCAAGCAAAACACAUAUCAUGUGGUGAAUAAAAAUAUAGCUCCAAGUAAAGUUACCGAUGAAUGAAGACGAAAGAGGGGAUGCCUUCCGGGGCAUCCCCAAGCUUAGACGCUUGGUUAUCCUUGAAUAUUACCUUGGGGUGCCUUGGGCAUACCCAAGCUUAGGCUCUUGCCACUCCUUAUUCCAUAGUCCAUCGAAUCUUUACCCAAAACUUGAAAACUUCACAACACAAAACUUAACAGAAAACUCGUAAGCUCCGUUAGUAUAAGAAAAUAAAUCACCACUUAGGUACUGUUGUGAACUCAUUAUAAAUUAAUAUUGGUGUUAAACCUACUGUAUUCCAACUUCUCUAUGGUUUAUAAACUAUUUUACUAGCCAUACAUUCAUCAAAAUAAGCAAACAACACAUAGAAAACAGAAUCUGUCAAAAACAGAACACUCGGUAGUAAUAUGUAUCAAACGUAUACUUCUGGAACUCCAAAAAUUCUAAAAUAAAUUGGUGGACCUGAGUAAUUUGUCUAGUAAUCAUCUGCAAAAAGAAUCAACUAAAUAGCACUCUCCAGUAAAAAAAUUAGCUAAUCUCGUGAGCCCUAAAGUUUCUGUUGUUUACAGCAUGAUCAUAAAGACUUCACCCAAGUCUUCCCAAAGGUUCUACUUGGCACAAACACUAAUUAAAACACAAAACCACAUCUAAACAUAAGCUAGAUGGAUUAUUUAUUCCUAAACAGAACCAAAAAGCAAGAAACUAAAAUAAAAUUGGGUUGCCUCCCAACAAGCGCUAUCGUUUAACGCCCCUAGCUAGGCAUGAUGAUUUCAAUGAUGCUCACAAAAAGAUAAGAAUUGAAACAUAAAGAGAGCAUCAUGAAGAAUAUGACUAGCACAUUUAAGUCUACCCCACUUCCUAUGCAUAGGAAUUUUGUGAUCAAACAAUUUAUGGGAACAAUAAUCAACUAGCAUAGGAAGGCAAGACAAGCAUAACUUCAAGAUUUUAAGCACAUAGAAAGGAAACUUGAUAUUAUUGCAAUUCCUACAAGCAUAUAUUCCUCCCUCAUAAUAAUUUUCAGUAGCAUCAUGAAUGAAUUCAACAAUAUAACCAACACCUAGAGCAUUCUUUUCAUGAUCUACAAGUAUAGAAUUUUUACUACUCUCCACAUAAGCAAAAUUCUUCUCAUUCGGAAUAGUGGGAGUUUCAUAAGAGACUUGAAUACUAUAAAUUGUUUCCACAUUAAAAGAGUAAUGUUCAGAAAAAGGGUAAUCAUAAUCAUGACAAGUUUUAUAAAUAUAAUCAUCACUACUUUUUAUAGCAUAAGUUUCAUCACAAUAAUCAUCAUAAGUAGCAACUUUGUUCUCAUCAUAAUCAAUUGGAACCUCUUCCGAAAUAGUGGACUCAUCACUAUAUAAAGUCAUGACCUCUCCAAAUCCACUUUCAUAAAUAUUAUAAGAUUCAACAUCCUCCAAAAUAUUGGGAUCAUUACUUCCUAAAGUUGACACUCUUCCAAACCAACUUUCAUCAAUAUAAUCAUCAUAGGUAGAAGGCAUGCUAUCAUCAUAACAACUUUGCAUGUCAAAACUUGGGAGGCUAAAAAUAUCAUCUUCAUUAAACGUAGCAUCCCCAAGCUUGGGACAAACAUUAAUUUCAGCAAAUAUAUUCUCAAAUAUGUCAUUCUCAUCAAACAUAGCUUCCCCAAGCUUGGGCCUUUGCAUAUCAUAAGCAUAAUCAUUCUCAUCAUUAAUAGUAUGCAUAGCACCAAUAGUAUAGCAAUUAUCAUCAUCACAAUGAGUAGUAGGAGCAACAUCAUUUGGGAGGGAUACCUUUUUACCUUUACUUCUCUGUUUUUGCUUUUUCUUAUUCACAUCAUGUGCGGGUUUAUCCCUCCUUUUUGAGCUCCUUAUUGAUGAGAUUGGUUGAACAGAAGGCUCCUCCUUGUUACCUGAUUCAUCAUAAGAAAUAAUAGGAGAAUAUUGGGAAGUCUCUUCCCUUUCGUUAGUAUUCUCUUCAUCUUCUAUUUGUUUUCUUUUCUUUAUGUAAUUGGCAAUAUAAGGAUUUUCAAUGCAAUUCACCGCACAAUACAUAUAAAUUUCCUCUAGAUCAAAAUGAAGAAUUCUAUCAAGGGCAAAUUCUGGAAAAAUCUUAGUUAUACGUUUCAUUUCUUCAUAACCCAAGAGCAAACUAAGUUCAUUAUGAUGUGCAAGGGAAAUCAAGUCAUCACAAUUUUUGGACAUGACACGAUCAUGAAACAAUUUGCAUUGGUUACUGAAAUGAUCAUGUUCAUUGCAAAGUUCACAAGUACGGCUAAGAAAAUUUAAAUUUUUAGCACAAACAUCUAGCCUUUCUUGCAACAAUUUAGUUUCUAAAUGAUUAUGCUUCUUGCAAUAUCUAUCUUCCCUAUUUGGUGUGUACUUGCAAACCCAAUACACUCCACAAAAAUUGACAUGCUUAUAAGAGAUAUUUUCAUCAUGACUAGUGCAAUCAUCAUUAGUACCAUGGAUAUUCAAAGGGUUCAUACUAACAACAUUGCAAUCAUGCUCAUCAUUCAAAGAUUUAGUGCCAAACAUUUUAUAGACUUCCUAUUCUAGCACCUUGGCACAAUUUUCCUUUCCAUCAUGCUCACGAAAGAUAUUAAAAAGAUGAAGCGUAUGAGGCAAACUCAAUUCCAUUUUUUUGUAGUUUUCUUUUAUAGACUAAACUAGUGAUAAAACAAGAAACAAAAAGAUUUGAUUGCAAGAUCUAAAGGUAUACCUUCAAGCACUCACCUCCCUGGCAACGGCGCCAGAAAAGAGCUUAGUUGACGGGGUGUGAGUGCCGCUUACCUAGCCUCCCGGGCAACGGCGCCAGAAAAGAGUUUGAUGUCUACUACGCAACCUUCUUCUUGUAGACGUUGUUGGGCCUCCAAGUGCAGAGGUUUGUAGGACAGUAGAAAAUUUCCCUCAAGUGGAUGACCUAAGGUUUAUCAAUCCGUGGGAGGCGUAGGAUGAAGAUGGUCUCUCUCAAGCAACCCUGCAACCAAAUAACAAAGAGUCUCUUGUGUCCCCAACACACCCAAUACAAUGGUAAAUUGUAUAGGUGCACUAGUUCGGCGAAGAGAUGGUGAUACAAGUGCAAUAUGGAUGGUAGAUAUAGGUUUUUGUAAUCUGAAAUUAUAAAAACAGCAAGGUAACUAAUGAUAAAAGUGAGCGUAAACGGUAUUGCAAUGCUAGGAAACAAGGCCUAGGGUUCAUACUUUAACUAGUGCAAGUUCUCUCAACAAUAAUAACAUAAUUGGAUCAUAUAACUAUCCCUCAACAUGCAACAAAGAGUCACUCCAAAGUCACGAAUAGCGGAGAACAAACGAAGAGAUUAUGGUAGGGUACGAAACCACCUCAAAGUUAUUCUUUCUGAUCGAUCUAUCAUAGAGUUCGUACUAGAAUAACACCUUAAGAUACAAAUCAACCAAAACCCUAAUGUCACCUAGAUACUGCAAUGUCACCUCAAGUAUCCAUGGGUAUGAUUAUACGAUAUGCAUCACACAAUCUCAGAUUCAUCUAUUCAACCAACACAAAGAACUUCAAAGAGUGCCCCAAAGUUUCUACCGGAGAGUCAAGACGAAAACGUGUGCCAACCCCUAUGCAUAGGUUCAUGGGCGGAACCCGCAAGUUGAUCACCAAAACAUACAUCAAGUGGAUCACGUGAUAUCCCAUUGUCACCACAGAUAAGCAUGGCAAGACAUACAUCAAGUGUUCUCAAAUCCUUAAAGACUCAAUCCGAUAAGAUAACUUCAAAGGGAAAACUCAAUCCAUUACAAGAGAGUAGAGGGGGAGAAACAUCAUAAGAUCCAACUAUAAUAGCAAAGCUCGCGAUACAUCAAGAUCGUAUCACCUCAAGAACACGAGAGAGAGAGAGAUCAAACACAUAGCUACUGGUACAUACCCUCAGCCCCGAGGGUGAACUACUCCCUCCUCGUCAUGGAGAGCGCUGGGAUGAUGAAGAUGGCCACCAGUGAGGGAUUUCCCCUCCGGCAGGGUGCCGGAACAGGACCCCGAUUGGUUUUUGGUGGCUACAGAGGCUUGCGGCGGUGGAACUCCCGAUCUAUUCUAUUUUCUGGAGGUUUCAGUAUUUAUAGGAUUUUUUGGCGUAGGUCUCACGUCAGGGGGGUCUCCGGGUUGUCCAUGAGGCAGGGGCCCACGCCCAGGGGGGUGGGCGCGCCCCCCACCCUCGUGGGCAGCCCGGGACUCUCCUGGCCCAACUCUUUUACUUCGGGGGCUUCUUUUGGUCCAGAAAAAAUCAUCAAAAAUUGGCACGUCAAUUGGACUCCAUUUGGUUUUCCUUUUCUGCAAAACUUAAAAACAAGGAAAAAACAGAAACUGGCACUGGGCUCUGGUUUAAUAAGUUAGUCCCAAAAAUAAUAUAAAAAUGCAUAGUAAAGCCCAUUAAACAUCCAAGAUGGAUAAUAUAAUAGCAUGAAUACUUCAUAAAUUAUAGAUACGUUGGAGAUGUAUCAUACUCCCAGUCCACCCAUCUCAUGUCACAGACAAUGGGCUUCUUGUCAAGCAGGAUAGUCUCAUAGAAAUCUUGAUGUUCCUUUGUGUGGAACCUGUAAUCCACAGCAGUUCUCCUCCUGACAGCAUAUGGAUCAGACUGUCUCCACAAUCUCAGUCCUGAAUCCUUCCUGAUCCUCAUAUCUUCUGCAACAGGAUGUGCAUCAUUAUGGUCAGGGAUCUUGGGCUUCAACUUUCUUAAAACAAGUGAAUCAUCUUCCUCGUCAUCAGCAGCUUCAGGCACUGGGGCCUUGUUCUUCUCUUCAGCAGGGAUGUUCCUGGUGCUCCUCUUGGGUGCAGACUUUUGAGCUGAAGCUUUGGGAGCAGACUUGGGCUUAGAUGGAGCAGCCCCUGAUCUGAUCAUCUCCCAUAAGCUUCUGAGCUUUGGGUGUUGGUGCAGCAUCCUCUUCCUCUUCAUCAUCAUCUCUCAUCAUGGAGGGCUUCCCAAUAACUCUGGCAAUGGUCUUCUUGACCCUUUCUUUCCUCUUCUUGCCUUCACCUCCUUCUUUGGGUUCAAGAGUGAACUCCAUUGUAUCUUGAGUAGAGGCUCUGGCCUUAGACAUAGGAACUCUUCUUGCUGGAGCCUUUGUUUUCAUUCCAGGCUUUGUUGCAGCAGUUGUGCCAUACUCCUUUUUCAGCACCUUUUUCCUUAAAGUGGCCUCAUCCUCAACAGCCACAUAAUCCACAUCCUCAGAAUCUGAGGUUCUCUUCUUCCUUGUCCUGGUGGCUGCCUUUGGCAAGUUACUAGGUGUGCUCCUGCUGCCCUCAUCAUAGCUGCUGGAGGGACUAGUGCCCUCACUCAACUGAACCUGUUCUUCAGACUUGUUCUGGUUGUCACUUUGAUCAGACAUCUUCAGGCAAACUGUCAGCAGACCCUGUGAAUAGGUUGUAGAUGAGGUAGAGUGGAUGAGCAUCACAAAGUACAGAGUUUUGUCAACACAGAUGACUUAAAAACUUAGUUUUAGUUCUUCACAGAAAGCAUUUCGGAUCUACCGAUUUGUAAACUCGGUGAUACCGAAGCAGCUUUUCGAACCUAAACUAGUGAACUCGGUCAGACCGAGUCACAGUUCGGUGGCACCGAGACUGCUAGGGUUUCACAAAGAAUCGAACUCGGUCACACCGAUUUGCAAUUUUCGGUCGGACCGAAAACGCAUGUGCAAUGGCCUAAGCCAAAUCGGUGAGACCGAUUUCUACAACUGGUCGGUCCGAGAUGAGUUUGGCGGAGACCUAACCCUAAAUUUCCAAAUCAAAUCUAAUCUACGGGAUGUUUUCAGUGGACAGGAUGAUUUCAUAUGUGGCAAGAAUCAUGGCAAAGCAAUGUGCUAAGAAUCAGAGUUAAGGAAUAGCACAAAGAUCAAGUUCGUACCCUAGUUCAGCGGUGAACUCGCUACGGCGGCAACGGCGGGGCAGAUUGCCGUUGACGGCGGCGGAGACCAGCGGCAGGAGGUCACUGGCGGCGAGAGGAUGAUCCGGAGACCCGAGGAGGCAGAGCAGGUCACGUGUGGGUGAAAGGUUUUGGAAAUUUUUCCAAAAUUUGACCCGUCAGUAUAUAUAACCUGACCCUGUUGGUGUGACCAAGUGGAACAACUCGGUGGCACCGAGAUGCAAAACUGUAAGCAGUUACUGCAACUCGGUGUGACCGAAGAGUUCUAAUCGGUUGCACCGAGAUUGAAAACCUAGAUCAACUUAGUGAUCUCGGUAUGACCGAAAAGGAUGUAUCGGUCAGACCGAAAUGCACAAAGAGGUUUUGGAAGUUUAAGUCUACGACGAAUCGGGGACUCCGAGUGCUCCUCACACAGAGUGGUUCGAAUCUGACUUGAUCAAACUUUGUGAUGUAGCAUGAAUAGAGUUUGAAACGAGGAAAGCAUAGAUAGCUAGAGGGAGUUCUUAGACAUUUUUGUCCAUCCAUUUGGCAAAAGAGAAAAAGCCAAACAAUCAAAGCAACAAAUGGAUGUCCUCGAAUGAGUAAAAAUAUGCAUCCAACAUUCUCACACAAUAAAAUGAAAAAUGAAAUAUGUGACAAAGCAUGCACAAACACUUUAGCAUCUAUCAAGCAAUUUGGCGAUGUCUAGGUCAUCUAUAUAUGAGUAUAUUGACUUAGGAGUCAAAUGAGAACAUUUGAUCAUAGGUCAUACUCAUCGUUUAUGCACAAGUGGGGUUACCACUUUUACAUAAAGCAUUGUUGUGCUCACACCAUUAGAGUUGCUUUAGCUCAAUUCUUAGAGUAAAGCUCCCCCUAGAUGUGAUAUCCCCCCUAAGAGGGAUGAACUAACCUUGGGUUUUGUCGGUGAUGACUUCAUGUAGGUGUUGAAGAUGUGGGUGCUCAAUGUUGAUGUAGAUCAUUCGGAGCAAUCCUUUGGAGUGAGUUGCACUUUCAAUACCUACACGGGUUAGCCCCACAAGGAACAAAUAAGGAUAUCCAUAGACAUAGAGUGAUGUACACACAAGAUGAUGUCCAUGAAAGCAUUAGGUUACCUUGUCCCUUGUCUUACCAACAAGAGGGUUUGUGACUCCUUGAACUAGUGCAAGAUAUGGAAGUUGUUUGCACUUGUCAUUGCCAAAAUGAUAAGAGUGAAGUAUGUUGGCGGAUUCACCCUCAAGAACUCUCUAGUUCCUCUUCUUAGGGAUCCACACCAUCUUGAUGGGAAUCCUUGGAGUUGUAGUCGUACUUGAUGAAGUGGAACUUGAUGUGGUUUUGGGAACCCAUUUGACCAAGGCCUUAGGUGCUUCUUCAAAUGCAUCAAUCUCCUCUUGAAGCUUGUCCUUGCCUUUUUGCUUGUGGUCUUGUGGUGGAAGAUCAUCUUGAGCUUGUGUUCCUUGGAAAGAAGUAGGAUCAAACUUCUCUUGUUGAGGAACAAACUUCAUCUUGGGGUAUUGAUCUUCUUCCCACUCAACUCCAUUGGCAUUGAACUUUCGUUCAAAAUCAAUACCUUGAUUCUUCCGGUGCCUUCCUUGCUUGCAUACAAUUUCCUCAAAUUGCUUACUUCCGGCAAGGCUCUUGUAAACACCUUUCUCUAUAAUUCCCUUCAAUAAGCUAUUUUCUUGCUCAAGUGUAACUUGGAUAAGAGAAUCAUUAGUGGAAUCAAGAGAACCUCUAGAAGCAACAAUAUUGGAUUUAGCAUGAUUAUUGUUACUACUAGAAGAAGAAUCUUUCUUGUUCUUGUUGCUAGAUUUAACUUGUGGCAUGUAAGUAGACAAGAGUAAACGCUUGGCAGUGUAAGAAGAACUUUUCUUGCGAAGAACAUCAUUGAUUGCUUUUAAGAACUCAUGCUCUUGCUCAAGGUUGAGCUUUUCAAAGCGUAGCUUCUCAUGAGUCUUUAAAAGUUCUCGAUGAUCUUCCAAGGUAGUUUCAUGAGCUAACUUAAGAGUGUUUAGUUCUUUAGUUAGACGCUCAAUCUCCUUCUUAUCAUCGUCAUUCGUUUUAUCUUGAUUAGCAUGAUCAUUAGCAAGUUCAUCAUAGUUUUCAUAACUAGAGUUGUCAACAAGUAGAUCAUCAUCUCCUAGCAAAUCAUCUUCAUCACUAUUGAAAUCAACAUACUCGGGGUGUGUUACCUUUGGACCUUUGGCCAUGAAGCAUCUUCCAAUUCCUUCAUUUGGUGAGUCAAAUAUGUCGUAGGAGUUGGUUGACACAAGUGCUAGACCGGCAACACCUUCAUCUUGAGUAUAUUCGGAGUCAGAGUGAUAACUUCUUUCGGAGUGAUGGUCGGAGUCGGAGCCGGAUACCCAUUCACCAACAUGAGCUUGAUGUCUUCGUUUUGUGUAGCUCCUUGAUGACUUGUCCUUCCUCUCCGAAUCCUUGCUUCUCCGAGAGGGUCUUCGUUCAUAACGAUCAUCUCUACUCCUUCUCUCUCUUGGAGGCGAUUCUUCUCUCCUACUCCUUCUUUUGGGAGAAUCUUCUCUUCUUUUGUAGGGAGCCGUACACUCAUUGGAAUAGUGUCCGGGUCUUCCACAAUUGUAGCAAUUACGCUCACGACUAGAAGAUCUAUUGUCAUUGUAGGACCUUGACUUGGAGCUUCUUUCCUAGCUUCUACUCUUGUAGAAUUUGUUGAAGUUCUUCACCAUUAGACUCAACUCUUCAUUGAAGGUUUGCUUCUCACUUGAUGAUGUGGGAGAUUCACAUGAGGCUUUGUAAGCACCACUUGACUUGUUGUGGAGCUCUUCCUUAUCCUUGAGUGACAUCUCAUGAGCAACAAUUCUUCCAAUGACUUCCGUUGGCUUGAGAUCUUUGUAGUUGGGCAUCAUUUGGAUCAAUGUGCACACGGUAUCAUAUUUUCCAUCCAAGGCUCUUAGGAUCUUCUUGAUGAUGAAUCUAUCGGUCAUCUCUUCACUUCCUAAGCCGGCAAUCUCAUUUGUGAUGAGAGCAAGCCUAGAGUACAUUUCAGCGACACCUUCACCAUCCUUCAUUUUGAACUUGUCAAGUUGACUCUGAAGCACAUCCAAUUUGGAUUCCUUGACGGAGUCGGUACCUUCGUGCAUAUCAAUCAAAGUAUCCCAAAUUUCCUUUGCAUUCUCAAGACGGCUGAUUUUAUUGAAUUCUUCGGGACACAAUCCGUUGAAGAGAAUAUCACAAGCUUGAGCAUUGUAUUGCAGCAUCUUCAACUCUUCCGUGGUAGCUUCACGGUUUGGUUCUCUCCCAUCAAAGAAUUCACCUUGCAAGCCAAUACACACAAUAGCCCAAACGGCGGGGUUAUGUCCAAGAAUAUGCAUUUUCAUCUUAUGCUUCCAACUAGCAAAAUUUGUACCAUCAAAGUAAGGACCUCUACGGUGGUAAUUUCCCUCGCUAGACGCCAUACUCUCCUAGGUUGUGAAACCAAGGCUAUGACCACCAAAAGCUAUGGAAAUUAAAGAAAAUGGAGACCAAAGCACUGAUACCACUUGUAGGAUCGAAAGUAUGUCUAGAGGGGGGGUGAUUAGACUACUUGACCAAAUAAAAAUCUAGCCUUUUCCCAAUUUUAAGUCUUGGCAGAUUUUAGCAACUUAGCACAACUCAAGUAAUCAACCUACACAUACAAUUCUAAGAGUAUAGUAGCGGAAUGUAAAACAAUUGCAUAUGAAGGCAAAGGGAGGAGUUUGAGGGAGCAAACGCAAUGUUGACACGGAGAUUUUUUAUCCGUGGUUCCGAUAAGUGGUUCUAUCGUACAUCCACGUUGAUGGAGACUUCAACCCACGAAGGGUAACGGUUGCACGAGUCCACGGAGGGCUCCACCCACGAAGGGUCCAUGAAGAAGCAACCUUGUCUAUCCCACCAUGGCCGUCGCCCACGAAGGACUUGCCUCACUCGGGUAGAUCUUCACGAAGUAGGCGAUAUCCUUACCCUUACAAACUCCUUGGUUCAACUCCACAAUCUUGACGGAGGCUCCCAAGUGACACCUAGCCAAUCUAGGAGACACCACUCUCCAAGAGGUAAUAGAUGGUGUGUUGAUGAUGAACUCCUUGCUCUUGUGCUUCAAAUGAUAGUCUCCCCAACACUCAACUCUCUCUCAUAGGAUUGGAUUUGGUAGAAAGAUGAUUUGAGUGGAAAGCAUGGAAGGCUAGAGAUCAAGAUUUAUGUGGUUGGAAUGGAAUAUCUUGACCUCAACACAAGUGUAGGUGGUUCUCUUUCAGAAAAUGUAUGUUGGAAGUGUAGGCAUGUUCUGAUGGCUCUCUCCACGAAUGAAGAGUGGGUGGAGGGGUAUAUAUAGCCUCCACACAAAAUCUAACCGUUACACACAAUUUACCAAACUCGGUGGGACCGAUUCAGAGAACUCGGUCAGACCGAUUUAGUUCAAAAUGUGGACGUUAGGAUUUUCGGUGGGACCGACAUGUCAACUCGGUGGGACCGAUUUCGUUAGGGUUAGGGCAUAACGUAAUCUCGGUGAGACCGAUUACACAAACUCGGUGAGACCGAUUUUGGUAAUAGACUAACCAGAGAGUUGGUCAGGCAAACUCGGUGGGACCGAUUCGCUCAUCUCGGUUGGACCGAAACGUUAUGAAAGGGAAACAGAGAGUUUGCAUUGCAAUCUCGGUGGGACCGAUCGCUCAUCUCGGUUUGACCAAAACGUUACGAAGGGAAACAGAGAGAUUACAAUCCCAUCUCGGUGAGACCGAGAUCCCUAUCGGUGAGACCGAAAAGACUAGGAUUGUGGCUGUGGCUAUGUCAAGUGAACUCGGUGGCGCCGGAUAGAUCAAAUUGGUGGGGCCGAGUUUGACUUUUGGUUUGGGACAUAUGUGGAUAUGAGAAAGUAGUUGAGGGCUUUGGAGCAUAUCACUAAGCAUUUUGAGCAAGAAACUCAUUAAGCAACACCUCACCCCCUCUUAAUAGUAUUGGCUUUUCCUAUGGACUCAAUGUGAUCUUGGAUCACUAAAAUGAAAAAUGUAGAGUCUUGUGCUUCUUGAGCCAAUCCUUUUGUCCUUAGCAUUUUGAGGGGUCCACUUUCUUAACCCAUGCCAUGCCAAUCAUUGAGCUUUCCUGAAAUAUUUAUCUUGAAAUAGCAUUAGCUCAAUGAGCUAUAUGUUGUUAGGAAUUACCAAAACCACCCAGGGAUAGUUGCACUUUCACUUAGCUGAGAAGCACCUUGACCUCGCCACAAAAGCCGCCGCUCCUUAGCCGCCGGACCGUGGCCCGGCGCACUGAGUUGAGGAGGAGGAGGUCGUACAUUGAUGGAUGCAUCUUUCUUCUUGCCUCCUGUAACCACCACUGCGAUCGCAUCAUCGUGGCCUUAAUUCUUAUUGUGCUAUUGCAUUCUCGUUCUAGGCAAUACAGACAUGUGCGAUCCCUUUGCUUAAUUAUAUGCAUCACUGUAACUAGUACUCCAUCCGUCAAUUUAUAAGUUGUGCUACCAGUGUUUGGGGCCGGCGCACGAUCACGCACGUUCGUGUGCAUGCGGUUGUGCCGGGCGCGGCGCGACGAUGCAGUUACCCGCUGCAAAAACUGCCAUGCAGGGGACGUGGCAUUGACCAUUGAGCAGCAACAGCCGGUCAUCCGGGUGCCCGAUAAAGGAUGCAAAGAGGGAUCCUACAGCAGCAAGGACCAGCUUCCCUACCGAUAGCUUAUCUAACAGAACUCCCGUUACUUUACGACAUGUUUCCAAAACAUGGACCUCAAGGUUAAUUCAACUAAUAGGACGGAGCAUUAUAUACAUUUAACGCAAUUAAAUGUUUUCCAAAAAAAGUGAUAUGAUUUCUGUGAAACUUAUAAGUCAUGUAUGUCAAAUUAACCUCUGUGUACUUGUUCUCGAAUUAACCUCCGGGCCUUUUUGCCGUGUAUCACACACAUCUUGUUAAGUUGAACCAUUUAUGUUCUCUUCCCUAAUCGAAAACAGUUCAUUCGACUGAACCGUAUGCCGUAUAUCACACAUACCUUGAUCUAGCUGACCGUUUCUGUUGCUUUCCCUAAUAGCAAACAGUUCAUUGAAGCGAACCGUAUGCCGUAUAUCGCACACGCAUUAAUAUGGCUGGCCGUUUCUGUUGUUCUGUCUAAUCGCAAAUAGUUCGUCUGGAUCAACCGUAUGCCCUGCUUCGCACACGCAACUAAAAUCUGAACCCUGUUUGAUGCAUCCGUCAUCGCAAAUGUUUUGCACCUUUUUUGAUGGAUUUUUUACACCACCGUUUGCGAUUAUGGCAUCGCACACAGUUUCGUCGAAGGGUCUCUGAUCAUAGUGUCGCGUUAGCAGCAUCCUGCAGUAGUGUGCUCUCAAGUUUUGGCUUUUGACUUUAAGUCGCCAGUAUGUUGUGGCUCAUGUUUGAGUAUUUCGGGUUGUCACCCGCCCUGGCGUGUGAUUUUAAGUCGUCGGGAUGUUUUAGCUAAUCAGCCAUGUUCAUGAUUUUUUCAAUGGCUGGAUAAGACUACAAGUCUUUGGGGUUGUCACCCGCCCUGGCUCUUGACUAUAAGUCGCCAGUAUAAAUUUGGCUAACAACCGCUAGCAUAAUCUUUUAAAUGAUUGUUUAUGACCAUGAGUCUCGGGGUUAUAACCCGCCCUGGAUUCAAGCCUUAAAAGCCGACUUAUGAAUUAUAUUAUUGUGCAUAUUUGCAAUUUUUAUAACAUCUCUGUUUGCAGGGGUUAUCAGUUCUUACAAAGGCUAUAGGCCGCCGGGUUAAAAAAAUCCCGGGUUACAAUGAAUGCGCGUUAAGUCGUCGUCGGCCCAGAGCCACCGGGUAUUUAACUCCGGAUUUACUUGUCAAACAGAUAAGGUCUUGUGAUUAUAAGUCGCCAACAAGCAAAUUGUUGAGUCUUUUCACAGCUACGACGAGUUGAUUACAGUUGCAUAUCAAGCACCCAUUUUUAAACUGGGUUAUACGUUCCAAUCUUUAAUAGCCAACAUGGCUGGAUUUUCAUUAUGGUUGUCAUAACCAGUAUUAAAUGAUUGAGGUUGGAAUUUUAAAUAGCCAAACAUGAAACAUGGCUGGAAUUUCAUUAUGGUUAUCAUAACCAAUAUUGGAUGAUUGAGGUUUUCAAAGCCCAUUCAGAGUAAUGGCUAUUAUUCCUUCAUCCAAAAAUACCAGCUCACAGCAGAGAGUAUGGCUCAAUAUUAAUAUGUAAGGAUUUCAGCAACAUCAUCCGAACAGUCGAUAUGAUUUAUUCUACAAUGGAAGGAAUAGUCCCAAGUCGUUGCAGGCAUACGACCCGACACUUGGGGGCUACAUUAUUCAAAUCAAGAUUACAUCAAAUAUGCAAGUCCCAUGUCACUACAAGCAUGCUCCAUGGCAUUUGGGGGCUAAUGCAAGGUCAUUUUUAUCUCACCUCAUUGAAGACCCGACCCAUCACAUAGUGAUGAGCUGGCCCUUGGGGGCUACUAAUUGCUCCUGUCAAAAAUUCAAAGUACACAUGCCUUAAUCCAUUAUAUCAAAGGUAACCCGAAACUUGGGGGCUACAUCAUAUGAUGUUAUUUUCAAUGAAGUACAUGUAAAGUCCCAGCUCAAUAUUAUCUUACUGAGCCGGCCCUUGGGGGCUACACGUUGCUGCUUAAGUCUACAUAAUUAAGUCUACAAAGUCCACGCUCAUUAUUACAUAAUGACCUGGCACUUGAGGGCUACACAUGGGAAGUACAAAAUGUUCAGUUUAUGAUUGGCGACUUACAUGAACAACUCGGAUUUCUCUAGAGUUGCAACAUUUAUAUUUGAAGCAAGUCUUAAGCUAUCAAUACAUUCCCCUCUUAAGACUUGGGGGCUACAGGUAAUAUGGAUAUAAGGUAUGCCUUCAAAUUCCCAGUUAUGAGCAAACCAGGUAUCAUAUUCUUAUUGGCGGAAUUUACAAAGUUUAUUUCCUCCAAGCUAUUCAUAGAAAGGCUUGGAGAGCCAACUUAACAAUUGAAAGCUAUAUUUACAAAAGCAAGCACCAAGUCAGCAUAAUAUUGACCCAACGUUAGCAACAAUCAUGACCCGAUUUCAUCGGUUUUUAUAACCCGACAGUUUUGGUGAUCGUAACUCGACAAAUUCUACAUCCUCAAGCCGGCUCAGCACCAGAAGGAUAUCUUAAAUCCAAUAUUUUUGUCAAGUCGGAGCAUUGGAAGCUGACUCAAAUGGAUUAUUUUUCACCAAUAUUUCUUCUGCAAAAAACCAAUGUCAGCAAAUCGAUUUUGAAGCUGGCCUGCUGCUAUAAUGAAGAGACAGGAUAUGGAAUAACUCAGGAAUUGCAUGAUCCGACAAAUAUUGACCCAGUCGAGUGUUUUCACAGAAGGAGAUGACAAGGACUUAAGGAUGAACAUAAGCCGGCUCAGAAGAACCUUCGACCUGGCGCACAACCUGUCCAAUUUGUUCUUUUGUUUAUUUUGCAGGAUAAGUUUAACAUGGAUAAAUCCAAAUUAAAAUGGGGGCUAAUGUCGGGGAUAUACCCUGCGGUACGACCCGGCCUGAUGUAUGACCCGACCGGAGCUUGUCAAUUCACGAGUGACCCGGCUGAAGCUUGGCGACUCCCUGGUGACCCGGCCGAGCCUGGCGACUCACUGGUGACCCGGUCGAAUCUGGCGACUCACUGGUAACCUAGAGGACGGGUUAGACGAAUGACAAGGCCCAAGGACCAGAAGGCGGCUUGUGAGAAGACCGGCUCUCAAGGUACGGUGUCUGGUGGGCCGGUUUGAGAGGAAAGGCAUAAGGAAUAUUUCCCUUGCAAGGGAAGCACGAUUAGGAUUACACUUGUAAUAGAGUAGUCCUAAUCCUACUAGGACUCCACAUGUAAACCGCCCCUUCAACUUAUAUAAGGAGGGGCAGGGCACCCUAAGGAGGACAAGUUAAGACAGACAAGUCAAUAGCUCUCGAGGGAGAGGUAGCAAAAGAGCACCCUUGUAAUCGUGAGCAUGAUCAUCAUCAAUAUUAAUGAAGCAAGAUGUAGGCUUUUACCUCCACCGUGAGGGGCCGAACCUGGAUAAAAUUCCGCGUCUCUCGUCCCGCUCAACCCCUCUCAAGCUACCAGUUAGAUGCGUUGGCCUCACGACUAAGUCCUCACAUUAGGACAUCUGCCGUGACAAAACCACGACAUGGGCCGUUUGAGGGGGCCGUCUGAGUCAAAAAAUCGUGACCAAGACGGGCGGCCCGCCCGGCCGGCCGUAUGCGGCGGGUUUGAAAGGUCCGGUUAUAGAUGCUCUAAUGAUUCUAAAAUAAAAUAAAAUUUUAAAUUCCAUGUAACCGAUGUCUUGGAGCCUAGUUGGUUUGAUGCCAAAAGUUGGCAUGCCAAAUUUUGACAACUGCCAAAUGUUGGCUAGAGAUUGGUUGUAUAUCCAUUUUCGUUGUCAAUCUCAUAAAAGAUUGUCAACUUUUGAUUUUACCAAAUAUUGACUUGCCAAAUAUUGGCAAUGUCAAAUGUUGGUGAGUUGGUAACAAACCAAUCAGUAGGGCGCUCGUCCACCAAGCACUUCUUCUAUGGCCAUUUGGCCAUGUGCUGCUCUUGUGCCCGAUUUUGAAGCUGGAGAAAGCAAGUCACUGUUAACAAAUGAGAGUGACUCCGUCCAAUUGACAGCUUUGAAAGCAUCUCGAACCCAUUCUUUUCUUGUUAAGUUCUUUUUUCUAUUUCAAUUCAAAAUCUUAAUUUCAUUUCUUUUAUGGCUAUUUUUGCUUCAUAAUAUGACCAUUUUCUCUUUUUUUGCUUAAAAAGCAUUUUUUUAGGGAAAGCAACUUAUUAAAAUAAAAUUGAGCAAAAAGCAACUUAUUAAAAAAAAGACAAAACAACUUUUGUUUUGAGGGAAAGCAACAUAUUGAUUUUUUUUAGACAAAGCAACUUAUUAAAUGGGGAAGGAAUUGGCCGCCGAGGGGCAAAUAUAAACGAGGGACACGGCCCAGCCCAGUAAGAGGGUAUCUUCUUUCCUUUGCCCUAGCGAGCAGGCCCAGCCCAGACUCUCCCCCAAUCUGGACAACUAGCGGCGAAUCCCCAUUCUCCGGCGAGCCGCGGCGAGGCCCUUCUCCGGCACGACCGCUGCUUGCUGCAGCAUCGAGCUCCCCGUACUUCCGCCUCACCUCCGCAGCCUCGUUCCCGCUUGCCGCCUGGCCGACCGCACUCGCCGACGACCGGAAGCAACCAUUACGCGGUGAGCUCCCAUUCCUCUCCCUCUCCUCGGUGCCUAUGCCGCAUGUUUGUUCUCGUGAGCCGUUUCUUAUCUGAGCUCGUCGCAGAUGCGACCUGGAUCUCACCGCCGUCCGUUCCGCCACCCUGGACACCCCCCUCCCCCCUAGCUGGUGAUUCCUCUUUUCUCCUCAUCCUGUCGUCUUCAUGCCGCGAAAAGAACUCGAGUUCGUUUAUGUUGGUCAGCCGCACUAAAGUAUCCAUACCAAAUCUGUUCUUUCAUAUACACAACCGUGUCAUUGUCAUAAGGCAUGAACAUGAUCACAUAUGUUUCAAGGGCAACUUGUUUACUAAUUCAAGCAUCGAUCGGGGCCAACAAAAAAUAUUAGCACUUGUCAGUCGCACCAAGGAUGGAUACGAUGAUAUUCUUGAUUUGCCCUGGCUUAUCUCACAAGUUAGCACUUGUCUCAGCUUUUCAUGGUGUCUAAUAGGUACAUGAGAUUAUAUAUCCUGAAGGUGCAUUCCGUUCCCUUUUUACCAUAUCACAUUUUGUUUCAACACGUAUUGUAGCAACGCGUGUAUUAUAUUAUUAUUAUUGCUUACUUGUUGUGAAAUGGAUGGCGAAAUUGGAAAAACUUAUGGUGAUUUUAUUAUCUGCAACUUUGCAUAUAAUUACUUAAUUACAGAGAAGUAUCCCCAUGCGACGGUGAAUCCGUGUGGCCCCACUCAGCAUAGGUCAUAAGCCCAUACUGAAAUAUGCUUCACAACUUUUCUCAUUUGCAAAUUCUUGUGUAAACUGCAAAAGCAUUGUUAGAAGGAGACCAACAAAAAAAAUCAUGGUUUUUAGUGUGAGUGUUGGAUAAUAUUUCAGUUCAUUUGACAUCCAUAUUUCGAGCAUGGAGUCGACGUUUACCAUUUAUCAAGUGCCGGUCAAAGCUUCAAUCCAUUAAUUCGCUCAGCUCUGUUCAAUCGUUAAAUAAUGGGUAUCACUACUUCUUGCAGUUCUGCACAAACACUAAGUUUCUCAGUUUUAUAUCAUCUAUUUUCUUCUUUUUUGAUGUAGAUAUAAGUUCAUCUGCUAGAUAAGCUCAAAGGAGAUAUUGAAUCUCGGUAGGAGAUGGCCACAACCAUACUACCUGAUGACCUGGUGGUGGAGAUCCUGUCUCGGCUGCCACUGAAGUCCUUUUGCCGUUUCAGAUGUGUCUGCAAGUCUUGGCUUGCCUUCUCAUCUGAUCCGCACUACCGCAAGAAGCUCCCAAGAACUCCCUCCGGUCUCCUGUACCAAAAAAAUGAGCAUGGCAAUGCCAUCCAUUUCGUGGGCCUUCCCUCAGGUGACAGGGAUAUUGACACAACACUUAGCUUUGUGCCAUGCUAUGAGCAUCCCUUGGAGCUUAAGGGUUGCAGCAAUGGCCUGCUUAUGUGUUAUCAUGGUGGUACAGGCUCUAAAGAAAUUUCCGACGCCAUUGUGUGCAAUCCAGCAACUCAAGAGUGGAUGGCACUUCCAAAUACUGAACCUGGACCAGCCGUCUCUUAUGCUGAUCUCAAGUUGUGUUUUGAUCCAUUAUGGUCUCAACACUUCUAUGUCUUCCAAUUUGAGACGACUCCAAAUGGUGGAUAUGACACCGAAGUUAAGGUAUUUUUCUCUGAGGAUUCGACAUGGUCUAAUUGUCUAUGGGAAACUUCAGAUAUACUUGGUGGUGAUUCACUAUUCUUAAAUGGGGUGUUGUAUGUGGAUCACUUAUGGGGGCAUUACCUUCUGGCACUCGAUGCACCUGACACAUGCACACAAUUGCUCAAUCAUAGGAUCCUUCAGCUGCCUGGAUUUCCAAAUGGACCAGAACAGAGGUUUUAUUGCUUUGAUGGCUGUCUUGGCCAGUCAUCUGGGGUCUUAUGCUACGCACAACAAGAAUUGGAUGGCUGCAUCAUCCGAAUUUGGAGUUUGGAAGGAUCUGAUAGGUGGGUGGUGAAGCAUCGUCUAAAUAUGAACAACGUAUUUGGGAGGGACAUAAUGCUCCGUGCUAACAAUGAAGGAUUAUGGUAUUUUGAUUAUGAAAUCCUGGCAUUUGACUUGGAGAGAGAGCUAGUUUUCGUUGCUGACACGAUUGCUGAUAAUAAGAUCAUCUCAUAUAGCAUCAGUACUGGAAAGGGCUCGCAGAUUCUAAACAUUCCAAGGUUCGUUGACCUAUAUCGAAGUCGACUCUACGUGCCUUACUAUGGCAAGUUUCCAGCUUCUGUGCUUCAAGGAGCUCAAGACAAAUGUUAGAUUAUUUACCCUAUGAAUGCUGUAAUCUCUAGUUAUCUUUUGUGCACUAGCUAUACCAAACGGCUGUUAUGCAUGUACCGGAUUGUUGGCUUGGUUAUGUGUUAUGUUAAUCUAAUUGGCACUUGUCAUUUCUCCUGUCAAGUCCGGUCUUGCUUAUGCUAGCCUAAUUUAGAAAAACUGCAGAGCAUGAUGUUAUGAAGCUUUCUAUACAAGGGCGUGUGAGGCAGUGUGAGCUUUCUAUACAAUGGCUGGGAGAACUCUUGUAAUCCUGCCAUGCUUCAGUCUCUUGACAUAGCAGCUAGCGAUCAUAUAUUAGAUUGAUUUACUAAGAGAUAAUGUUUCAGCCAUAGCAAAGUCGAGUAGGAUCCGCCUCACCGAGACUGCGGAGGUUUGAGCAGCUAGCGUUCAUUGCCGACGAGUUCUUGAGGUACAUCCAGUUCCAGUUCGGAGGCCGUCCGAGGAGUUUGGCCAUGGUAUCCUCCUUCAAAGUUCCCACGGAGCCCCUGCUUGCAGGCAAGGAUGCCCUCCUCAUGCAGUCAUGCUUCAUCCAUUCGCUGGUGGCAUCGCCGGUGACGGCAGCGUGGACGAAGAACAUACUGACAAUUUAACCACUGAUCCAUCAUCAGAGCUAUUCCACUGAUCCAUCGUCUAUGCCAACGUGAAGGAUCUCCACGCUACAUUCGUGUAACAAGAAUUUCACCAACGAGGGAAGUGCUGCCACCAGCGGCAAGCCGAUCAGUCAAGUUGAUGCAAUGUAUUUCAUCUUGCUUCUUAAACUGAUCAAUCAUGAGGCACAGUUGCAGAUAACACGCUGCCACACAUAUUCGUCUGUGGUAUCACUCCCCACACGAUAAUGCUCAUUGAGAUGAAUGACCUCCUAAUCUCAAACCUGAAGUUUCUCCCGCUCUGUUUUGAAUCUAUGCCGGGGCUCAAAAUUAAUCCUCUUAAAGUAAGGCCAUCCUUUUGUGUUUUAUACCCUGGAUGUGCGCAAGAUUGCUAACAAGUUCGUAACAAGGGAUCCUUCCUUUUACACACCUCGAUUUUCUGUUUUGGAUAAAAUUUACUCGGUGAGAUAGGUUGGGCCGUUGGGGUGCCAUGGAAACAAAGCAUAGUUUAAAUAACGGGACCGGUGAUGCCGCCGGUUUAGGUUUUUACCGGCCGGACCGCCGGUUCAUUCGCUGUGUUUUUAAACCAUAAAAAUAUGUAAAAAUAUGUCAAACAUACUGAUUUCUUUAUGGGAAAGGCUUUGCUUCAUGCGGUGGAUAUCAUGCGGACGUCCGUCGCCUCGUCCGUGCAACGCGUGUCCUGCCUGGGCUCAUCUAACAUUUUCUCUUACAGUUUUGCAACUGAGCGCUUGUUGCGGUUUGCCUACCGCAACAACUCGUAUGUUGCAGGAUCUGAAUCUGGCUCCUUCAUGGGCAGUCGCCUCCCGUGUUCUUCACAAGUUCCCGUUCUACAUGACAUUCUACCUCUAAUUUGUGCAACAUCAUCUAUGUUGCAAAAGUCCUUCCGCAACAUCAUCUGUGUUGCAAAAAAAGAAGACAAAAAAAUCUGCAACAUAAUCUCUUUUGAAUAUUUCUGCAACAUGAGCUCUGUUGCAAACGGUUCUGCAACACCGACUUUGUUGCAAUAAUGAGGACGGGGUUAGGUCAUUGGAUUGAUCAGAUCUAACGACUGCUGAGGUGGUGGAUCUUAUCAGAUUAUCCACCGGCGGACGCGUAGCGCUUUCUUUAUCCUUUGACUUUUUUGAGGCAUCUUUAUCCUUUGACUUUUUUGAGGCAUCUUUAUCCUUUGACAGCUAAGUUGGAUGGGGACUUGGUUGUUUCCUAGUGCCCAAGGAUCAAUCCCCGGCGGCUGCAACUAAUUUUCUUUCGGUUCAAUCGGUUUGAGCCAAAAAAAACAGCCGGUUCAAUCGGUUUUAUUUUUCUUUCGGUUCAACCGGUUUUUUGUGUCCAACCGGUGGUCCGGUCUGUCUUUUUAAACUAUGCACACAAGUUCUUCUUGAGUAAGGAAAACGAUAAAUCUACAUAUAGGACGGUCAAAUGGAAACCUAUCCGUAAGCUUAAAAAUGUGAGAGGCUUAGGGGUCGUUGAGACUUCGGUCACUUUUAGGGGGAGUUUUUUUAUUGUACAGGGUGGAGACGCGCUGAAAUUUUUUUUUUAAGUUAAAAAAAUCAACGCGUCUCCACCAAGUACCAUAAAAAAACUCCCCCUAAAAGUGGUUUUACGCAGUCCAUAUUAUUUGGGGAAGGUUCACUAGUGAGGUAUUUAGGUAGAUCCCAUAAACUUCUUCCCCUAAAAUCAGUUUUCCCCAUAUUUCUCCUUAAACUAGCAUACAAAUGGCAUAUGCAUUUCUAUUCUAUCAACCUAAAAAUUCAAAUAAUGUUAUUUCAGAAUCACAAUUUAUGAAAUUUUAUUUGAAAUACAAAUUCGAAACAUUUUCUUCCUCCCCACGAGCUACCCUGUGUGACUAGAGUUUUUCCACCUUCCGUCGGUGCCACAGCCUCCUAUGGCCUUAAGGCCAUGGAGGUGCGGUCGAUUCAGGCCCAUGCCGGCGGGAGGGCCCCUACUCCGUUUUAGGUGCUUUCUUAGUUUGUUUAGGUUUUUUGUCCUGCUCUGGACAGCGAGGCGUCGUAGCCACCCUAAAGAUGGAAUAAGGUUCUUCCUGCCUAGCCCUAGUCCCAGCGAUGUGUCUGGCCUCGUCGGAGGGGAGGUGUGUCUUCGGUGGAUCUCACAGGAUUCAGUCGGUGUUUCUUGGGUGGAUUUGCUUGGAUCUGAUCUACGUGUGUGUAUCUACAAGUUAGAUCCUUUCCAUAUACGCUUCUCUUCAUCAAAGAUGAUUGUUUUUUUUACUAUGAUCGAAGAUGGUUGUUGUUCCGGUGCGCUGAUCUUUUGGGUCGUAGCAUGAUGACUUUCCGACUGUCUACUUCGAUAAGGUUUGCCUGGCUUCGAUGAGGGAGGGGCAAUGCCGGUGGUGCUUCUUCGGCUCACCCCUUGUAGUCCUCGUUAGGUGGUCUACAAACAUUGAUUUGAUUCCUAUUACUUCUAGUGUUAUUUGUACCGCCAUGAUGUUUGACGAAUAGACCUGAAGUUUUUCUCGCGAAAAAGGGAAACAUAACAAAGGGUCUAAAUCAUCCGAAGUAGAACAUAAUAUGAAGGAGUUUAUGGAGCAUGAAGCGACCACAAAUGCUCAACUAGAUCAUCACGAGGUUGUUCAUGCCCCACACGGGUUUCGAUCUACAAUGCAUUUCAAGAAAUUUCUGGAGUCGUCGUUCAUCCCUUUGUAUCCCAACAGGUGGCAUAUAAAUUUUGUUUCCCUCAUUAUUACAGUGAAAGUCUCGAGGUGGCCGGCCGGCGUGGAGAGGUGGGCGGUUAUAAGGGUUAAUGUUUCUUCUCCUUGAUGGAGGGGAAGUUGGGCAGAUUGUACGGGUUCCUAUAAUGUUUCUUCGUGUUUACACAAUAUGUUGGAGCAACUUUUUCUUGUCCACCAUGUCCUCUAAAGAUCCCAACAAUACCUGUGGAGAAUUGCGUAUAACAGCCUUCCAGUAAGAACAAACCUGAAGAGGAGAGGCAUGGAAGCUGACACUUUAUGCCCGGUAUGUCAGUGGCGUGAUGAGGAUGGAGGGCACCUAUUUUUUCAGUGUAAACCGGUCAGAACAAUCUGGAGGACAGUGGGGCGUAAGGACGUACGACUGAAGUGUAUAACAAUGCAUGACCCCUUGGAAGUUUUACGUGCAAUCCUGAAUUUGCCGAACAGUGAUAAAGCUACAGUGUUGGCACUCCUCUAGACAUGGUGGACGACGAGAAAUGAAAUUCGAGCUGAAGGCCGGAAAGUGGAGUUAGAAAAGAUAGUGUGGCAAGUAAGAAGAUUGGCACAAAAGUUCAGAGAUUUCUUUGACAAGCCUAAGAAGAAAGAUAGUAACACCCAGACCCAUUGGUCACGUCCUGCCCCGGGAUGCCUAAAACUGAAUAUGGACGGGAGUUUCAACGUGGUCGAUGCUAGCGGUGGGUGGGGAUUUGUUGUAUGAGAUGAUGCUGGCGAUGUAGUGUUGUCUGCUGCAGGACGCAUUCUACAUGCACAAGACCCCCUCCAUACAGAAGCAUAAGCAUGCCGACAAGUCCCUGACACUGAUCCAAGAUUUUGGCAUCACUCAGAUUGCAGUUGAGACAGAUGUGUUGCUAUGAACAUGAUCUAGCUCCUAAUGGUGUGUUUUUUAGGGAGGUUAAAUCUAUUGCUAUGCUGCAGUUUAGUCACUUUACUAUCUCACAUUGCCUGAGGGCUUGUAAUAAUGUCGCAGACGCUCUAGCGUUGUUCGGGUCGAACAUGGAACAUGAGCCCCAAGCCGUAUGGCCGGGCCAUGUCCCUGCCUUUGCUCAAUGUUUCGUUGCCAGCGAUCGUGCUAAUGGAAUGAGAUUUCCAGUUUCAAAAAAAAAAGUUUCUAGGAAUAUGGAAUCUAUUGGAGAUGCUCUAAUAAAAAAAGUUUCUUGGUGUUAGAAGCUUCUUCAACAAACAUAUGCUAUCUAUGGAGAGCUAUUGUGUUAUAAAUAUUUCCCUCUUAGUGAUCCUUUACUGGCAUUGCAUAGGGGUUAGAGAACAUUUUUUAAAGCCUGAGAUAUUUUCCGGUCACAUGACAAAUUUAUCCUAGGGAAUGGUGGGCGAACAAAAUUUUGGCCCGCUUGGUGAUGUGGUGACUCUCUGCUGCAAGUUCGCGCUCUCGCCUACUUCGAUUAUUGUGAAAACCCCGAAUUUCUUGAUUGCUGAUGUAGCCAACACUAAAUGGAACAUCGCUGGACCCUUUCCAAGCAAGUGAUAUAUUGGCAAAGUCUUACUGUUGAGAUGCCUUAACCCGCGGGGAAGUCCAUCAAGUCAUCUGGCCCCAUUCAACGUUGGCCCAUGAGAUAUUUUUUCAUAUAUCUGUUGAUAAGCGAUCCAAAUAUCGGUCAAUCCUAUUCCCUGCUCGCAGUGGGAAAUACUUCAAUAUCGAUAUGAAGCCACCCCCUGCCUUGUGUUUGCUUAAUGGGCCGCCCAUGAUUUUUUGUGUUCUUUUUUACUAUUUUCUUUUGUAUAUUUUCUAUGUUAAGAAUCCAAGAAUAUUUUGAAAAUUAAUAAACAUCUUUUGAAUUUUAUGAACAAUUUCAUUUGUGGACAUAUUUCAAAAUUUAUGAACAUUUUGUUUUUGAAAUUUUAAACAUUUUAAAAUUCACUAACACUUCUAAAAAAUCAUAAACAAUUUUUAAAAUUUUCUUUUUUAUAAUUCGUGAACCUUUAAAAAAAUUGCAACCAAUUUUUUUUUGUAAAAUGACGUGAAAUUUUUAGAAAUAUGUAGAAAAAAUGUUUAAAGUCACGUGAACCUUUAAGUCAUGAAAUUGAUUUCUGCCCCCUUCUCCGAAGCACAUUCCCCACUGCUCAAGCCCCACCACAACCACCAUGAAGUCGCUGCAUUUGCAAAUGUACUACCAGGGCUAGAGCCUCUUGUCUUGCUUACAGUAUCACUAGAUGAAAGAUACCGUCCAAGACGACGUCAUACGCGCCCUGAGAUGCUCCUGCGUCUUCUCAGAUUAGCUUGGGCUAGGGGAAAGAAAGCUUCCAUCUAAAUUAAUCUUAGAACUUCAUUUUGAUUGAGUGACACAGUCCCUUUUGCCCCGCAAUAAAACCGAAUAUUUACUAACACAAGAAUAUGAAAAAAAUCCUAACAAAAAUUAAAAUAAAAAGCAUUUACCAAAAUUUUAAUUUGGUUAACUAAAUUUGAAUUUGGUUAUUUUUUUAAUUUCGUUACCUAAAUUUGAAUUUGGUGAUAAAUAUAAAUUUGGUGAAUGAAAAUUGGAUAGCUAAACUAGAUUUGAACUAGGUGAACUGUUUUGAAUUAGGGGAAUAAAAUUUUAUUUAGGUGAACUAAAUGUGAAUUGGGCGAACUAAAUUUGAAUUACGUGAACUAAAUAUAAAUUUGGUGAACUAAAUUUGAAUUCAUUGAGCUAAAUUUGAAUUAGAUGAGAAAUCUUUUCUUAGGUGAACUAAUUUUGAAUUCGGCGAACUAAAUUUAGUGAACUAAAAAUUAGCUGGACUAAUUUUGAAUUAGCUGAACUAGUAGAUAGUUGGAAAAAAGAUUAGUUCAGCAACUUCCAUAGGCAAAUAGAAAAAGCAUAGAGCAAGUUCAGGCCUACCACAGGAUUUUCCAUCUAGUGGCAGGUCUCAAUUUCGUGAACCUUUUUUUCAUAUGCAUUCCAUUUUUCGUUAUCAACUUCAUGGACUUUUCCCAAUUCCACAAACUUUUUCUGCAAAUUUUUAUUUUAUUUUUUGUGAACCUUUUCAUUUCAAAUCUAUGAACUUUUUCAAAAAAAAACAAAGUGUUUUUUUUCAUUUUUGCAAACUUUUCCUAGUGAUUUUUUUUUCAACUCGUGAAUUUUCUAUUAUUGUUGAUAAAUAAGAAAGUUUAGACCUGCCAUGGAAUUUAGCUCUCGUGGGCAAUCCCAUUUUCGUGACAACAAAAUCCUGUGGCAGGUCUGAACUGUGGCGCUGUGGAAGACUCAUUUUGGAGCUAAGAAUUUGAAAAAAGUUCACUAAAUUUUACUCAUAAUUUUGUUCAUCAAUUUGAACUAAAUUUUCCAUUUAUGUACUUGUCCACCUAAUUCACAAUUGUGAAUUUGGCAAACUAUAUUUUGAAUUAGGUGAACUAAUUUUCAAUGUCAGAUCUUUUGCAGUUGUUCAGUUAAUUGACUCUUACAACUUUGGCAAAUAAAACAAGCAUGGUCAUUUAAAAGGAAUGCCUGACAGUACAAUAUUUUGAUACGCAACACAGAAAGAACAGGAAAAAGGAUUUAAAACUAUGAUGACCAUAAUUAUGCGAAAUACAGUAGUACACAAUGAUGUACCAGUCUAUCACAGGUAUUAAUCAAGUUUCUGCAUGAGAGGACCUCCUCAUCUGUGCAGCACCCAUUUGUAGGGCGACAAAGCUAUGAAAUCUUGGAUUUCAGAUAGCGGCAUUCUUGAAUUCCAACUUGACAUAGUUGUGCUUUGUUCUGCACCAAAACAGAAUGGGGGCAAAGCUAAUACCUUACUGCACUUGUACCUUAUAAGGUAUCAAAAAAGCUGAAAGGAAGACAAAGAAAUUCCUACUCGCAGUUUAUCAAGUUUAACACGAUUUAUUUGCAGUUUUGCCUUUUCAUAUAAAAGCUUGCCAUGGAGCAAUUUUGCCUCAGCUAGUCUGGAAUCUUGAAUCCUCUGCGUUUAGAAAACGAACACAUCAGAUAAGUGGAAGUAAUUUUCCUAACAGCGACAGACAAUAUGACAACUAAUUAAUGAUAGCAUACCACAGCAGCAGAAAGCCUAAUAUAUGUACUAGCCACAUGAAUCUUCCUCAUCAUAUCUCCUAACGUAUCAAGCUUCAUUAAAACAAAACAAGAAAAAUAUAUAAGAUACAAUAAACUCAUGCUCCAUAGAACAUUUCCACAAGAUAUUUCAAAUGCUAGAUCAUUAGGUUGAACAAUAGAAUUAAACACACAAUAAGAAUAAAUCAUCUCGCAGAAAAAGGAAAUUCACAAAAGAGAUAUAGAGAACUAUAGAUUCUGAAGAUCAAUUAGUAACUGUACACAGACUCUGCCAAAAAUUGUUGGGGGAGGAAUUCACUCAGGACCACAACUUCCAGAUUUGUGAAUAGAAACAAACAUGUUUGGAACAAUCAAACGAUGUUUGAAGGAAUGGUGGUCAGAUGUAAUCCUAGAUUACUUUUUCACGCAACCUUGUGUUUAUUACAGAAGAUAAUGUUACCUCGAAACUCUUGAGAGUGAACUAUGUGGAGCCAAAGGCUUGAUCCUACAGAUCACAAUAAUAUAUUUGCUCAGCUAAAAUUGAAGGAAUAAUCAAGAUCAAGACAACACAAGUUGAGUAUGAGAUCGUGAUGCAAGAAGCUAUAGGACUAAUAAUUGUUUCCACAGUGCGCUAGAUUUUCAUCUAAAUAGUGUAAAGGGGUGCUAUGAAAGAAAUUAAUAAUCUAGCGUAAAACACGAAAAUUGGCAAUGGCUCCUAGGUACAUAUGCACCCAUUGUCUAAAUACACAUUUUGAAAAGUUGAAAAAUUCUCUACAAAAACCCCGCGUGUAUAUCCGGACAUUCUAUGUGCGUGCACAAAGUUUUCGGUGAAAAAGGAGGUUUUUUGUGGCUUGUGUAAAAAAGACAAUUUCUGAUGCUUCAUUACAACUAUUCAUUUUGCAUUUCUUUAUCUUUUUUACACAAGCCACAAAAAAACGUCGUUUUUCACCGAAACUUUGUGCAUGCACAUAGAAUGUCCGGAUAUACCCGCGGGAUUUUUGUUUCAAAAUUUUCAACUUUUCAAAAUGUGUAUUUAGACAAUAGGUGCAUAUGCACCUAGGAGCCAAAACACCGCUAAAACAGAGGAAACCUAGUAAAUGGGAAAAGUGACUUCAUUAUGUCGACUCGAGUAAGCGGAAAAGAAGAAGUGGGCCGAGCCCAACGCGAGGGCCCGUGUCCACCUGCAGCGUGACCUAGCUGCACCUCUCCCUCCAUAUAAAUCACCCCAUCUCGCCCAGCUCUCCCACCCCUUAGCCGCCGCCACAGCCUCCAGCUCCAAACCCUCAUCUCCCCCAUCCAAGCUCACUGCCCCCAACCCCCCACCCCCACCCAGCCAUGGCGGACCGCGGCGGCGAGCGUGGUGUCGGCGAGCGCGGCGGCGACCGCGGCGGCUUCGGGCGCGGCUUCGGCCGCGGCGGGCGCGGGGACCGUGGCGGGCGCCGCGGCGGCCGCCGUGGCCCCCGCCAGGAGGAGGAGAAGUGGGUGCCCGUCACCAAGCUCGGCCGCCUCGUCAAGGAGGGCCGCUUCACCAAGAUGGAGGAGAUCUACCUCCACUCGCUCCCCGUCAAGGAGCACCAGAUCGUGGAGACGCUCUGCCCGGGGCUCAAGGACGAGGUGAUGAAGAUCACCCCGGUCCAGAAGCAGACCCGCGCCGGACAGCGCACCCGCUUCAAGGCCUUCGUCGUCGUCGGCGACAGCAACGGCCACGUCGGCCUCGGCGUCAAGUGCGCCAAGGAGGUGGCCACGGCCAUCCGCGGCGCCAUCAUCCUCGCCAAGCUCUCAAUCGUGCCCGUCAGGCGGGGCUACUGGGGGAACAAGAUCGGCCAGCCCCACACCGUGCCCUGCAAGGUCACCGGCAAGUGCGGCUCCGUCACCGUGCGCAUGGUGCCCGCCCCCAGGGGUUCUGGAAUCGUCGCCGCCCGCGUCCCCAAGAAGGUGCUGCAGUUCGCCGGGAUCGAUGAUGUCUUCACUUCCUCGCGUGGAUCCACCAAGACCCUUGGCAACUUCGUCAAGGUAUAAACUUCCCCUGCCUUUAUCCAUGCUCUGCCAUGUUCCCGCCAUACUGCUACUUUACUGUCAGUACAUAAUGUUCAUUCCUUGUGUGUGCAUGGUUUGGAAUGUUUACUGCAAGAAGUGAUGCCUUUGGCAGCGUGUAAAAUAUUAUUUUUAUUAGAUUCAAGCCUGCAUAAUUUUGUUGGAAGGGGCGUAACUGGUUUACAGUCUGAUUCGUAUGAUUUAGUCUAGAUUCAGUUGGUCUGGAAAUUGUAGUUCUACUGUACUAGCCUAGUGUUGUUGACCAAACUUUAAUUUGUGCUUAGUACUUCAGGCUGGUCUUCAAUUGAUUGAUUGAAAAUGUGUCGCAACCUUUUUAAACAGUUCAGUUCAUUUUGUAUUACAAGCUUUUCAUGUUUUCAAUCUGUACAUGUAAUACAUUUUUGAGUUGCGGAAUCCUGGCUUGUGUCCUAAUACAUUUCGAGUUGUUCAUGUAUUAUAACCAUUUAGACAUUUCUGGUUGAGGGUCUAUUCUUGCAUAGUGAUGUAUCACUUCUCUUCUCUGUUUAUUUAUGCCUGCCAUGCUCUGUUUUAUUUCUCACGUUGGCAGUGGUGAGCUCAUAUCAAGUUGUGGUGAUGAUUUUUAUCAGGGUGAAUUUGUUCUUGUUUGCAUUGAAUAGUUGCAAACCUGAAGCUGACAAUUCUUUUAUUUCCAGGCAACCUUCGACUGCCUGAUGAAGACCUAUGGAUUCCUCACCCCUGACUUCUGGAGGGAGACAACCUUCACCAAGGCGCCGUACCAGGAGUUCACCGACAUCUUGGCGAAGCCGACCAAGGCCCUGAUGCUUGAUGCACCAGCCGAGAAGAUAGAAGCUUAGGAUGUUUGCCAUGAAAGGGUUUUUACUAGCUGGGAGCUGUCUGUUGCACUUUGCUUUAUUAUAGUCGAGAACAAGGUGUCUUUGAAUUGUGCUACUUGUGGAAGUCUCUGUUUGCUGUCAAAGUUUUGGAUUAUGGUGCAAUGCUACUCUCUGUUAUCGGCAAAGGAUGCUACAUAAUUAUGCCAAUCCAGUGUUAUUUGUCUAGAUGUUUGAUUUUUGGAUGCAGCUCCGCCUCGCCGUCGUCACCGACGCUCGACUGGUUGCAGCAAAAGAACACGCCAGUAGUAGCAAUUUUUGUUUGUGGAUGGUUCCAGCAAAAAGAUAUGCCGGACGUAGCAUUUAUGUAUGCUGAUUGUAACAUUUUUUGCCGUGGUUUGCAGCUCCGCCGCGUCGACUCUCGCAGCCGACUGGGCUGGUUCCAGCAAAAAGAUAUGCCGGACGAAGCAUUUUGGCGCGCCGGUCGGUAGCAUCUUUGCCCCGUGGAUGCAGCUUUGCCGUGUGCUGCCGCUGGUUGUAGCAGACUUCCCUGUGAUAGCAAAAAUCCUCGUGGAUGCAUUCAGCCAGCCGCCCCAUGGUUGUAGCUUGGUGUGCGAGCUCACACCAUGGCCGGCCUCGUCACAGCUUUGCCGUACUUGCAGUCCCAGCAAGUGCGGGAGCUGCACGCAGCACAUGAUGGCCGCCCCAUCGCAAAAACGAUAACAGCCGAACGCAUGGGGGUGUGGUCGCGCCGGGCACCAACAUCAGCGCGCGACGGCAUAUGUGUGGAGGCGCUCUAGCGGGGCAGGCGUUUGUGGGGCCGGAUUGGAGAGGGGGAGAGAACAAGGUGGGGUGAACGAAUGGUCGAGAACGCUUGGGGAAGAGGAAGGGGAUAAGGGAAAAAGGAAAGAGGGCGGCGUGUGGACAGGACGUGUGGACAGGACGCGACCGGCGCAGUUUCGGCCGGUCGACCGGAUACAAACAUUACCCCUACUUUGUGCAUUUGACAAAAUGUUCCAUAUGCUUGAUUGAAUGCUAAGUGAGUGUUCUAGUAAGCUACUUGUGCAACAGUGCAAGUGCAGAAUUGAACAGAACCGAAUUGAAUUUGAGCAUUUGCAUACUUCUGAACUAAACUAGAUGCCAAAUGUUAACUGAAAUUUUACUAAAGUGAAUGCAAUCGUUGCCCAGAACUGAACCCCAACAUAAGUGAUGGCAACUAGUGCCCAUAAUUCAACUGAACUGACCGGCGAAUUUGCCAAAACCAGGCUUGUUUACAUCCCGAUUCAAGUUAGAGUACAUGAUUGCCCAGAAAGAGUAGUAUUUCACCAGUGAUUGGUCCCUGUUCUAUCUCCCUUUGACGAAUGAAACUGCAGCGAUAUAUCACCUUGCUUGAGUUCUUCUGAAAAUGUUCUUUGAAUGCUCUCUGAAAAUGUUGUUACUUUUGCUUGCUGCUUUCCUUUUACUAGACUGCGCUGAAACAAUACUAGGAGUAGUAUAUUGUCAUAGUAUACCUCCAGAUUUAGGCAGAAGAAACAUGGUAAUUUCUGGUACUGUUCCUUAGAGUGCAUUUGCUCUAUACCUCAAAACAUGUAAAUGGUCAUUGCUUAUUAAUUAAGGAGCUAAACUUCAGUACCACAAAUUAGAUGACACUUGAUCAUUCUUCUUCUUGAGAAGCAACCAUAGCCCAAUAGAAUGACUUUAGGCUCUAGGAAAUAGAAUUAGUACCGGGGAAACAAGCUUCACGUUGUGUAGAAGGACCAAAUACUCAUACUAGUGACUCAGGCUUUUAAUUAGUCGUUGUAGAAUCAUUGUACUUGUACCAACGCCGCCUCCUCGACCGAGACUCCAUCUACUCCGUCGUCCCCUCCGCCACCUGAAGCAGGUAGCCAAUCUCGUCCUGUUGUUGUUAUGAUCUGCCUUGUUUAUAUUUUAUCUGCAAUUUACAUUGAUCUUGUUGCAAGAAAAACUAUGAAUGGAGAUGGUACCUAAUUAAGUUAAAUCCACAAUAUCCGUCCAACAUCAUACCUAAUUAAGCACAUGCAAUAUAUUCUCUUUGGGCUAUGGUUUAUCUGCAAUAUAUUCUCUUUCAGUACAUUAUGUGUCCAUGGUGAGGAAUGUUUGCUGCAAAUAAGAAAUAUAUUUAAUUAUUUAGUUAGGAGGUGUGGAGUGAGGAGCUCCUAAGUCUCUAGAACUCUAUCCAUAACCCUGCUCUCUGUUCCACAUUUCAUCUCAAUUUCCGUUGUUUUUGCAUUGGUACAUUUACAGUCGAUAUUAUUCUGCUCAUUAUCACUUAUUUUUAGUUAGUAUGAACACUUGUGGACUGUCUUACACACCGGUAAUGUUGGUACGGUACUAGCAGAGUCCAUUGGUCAACUAUGUAGUACCUAGUUGACUAUUUUUUCAUAAAGGAGCAACAUACUAUUUACGACCCAUUCCUAGCGAGAUACCAUGCUACUGCUUCUAGUUGGUUGUGAGGUAUGGAAUACUGAUUAAUUAAAUAAAAUAAGAUAAAAUUGCAAGACUUAGUCUGGUGUUUGUCACUUGAGUGCAAGUUGAACAAAAUUCUAAUAGGAUUCCUGUGGUAACUUUUGUGAAUACUUCAUUUGCCAACAUACGAGUCGAGCAGAUAGAAAAUACAUCUUGGCGAAGCCGACCAAGGCCCUGAUGAUGUCGUCGUAAAGGGUUUCACUAGCUGGGAGCUGUCUAAUGCUCUUUGCUUCAUUAUAGUUAAGAAUUUGAAUCGUGCUGCUUCAGAAUGUCUCUGUUUGCUGUCAAAUUUUGGAUUGUGCUACUAUGCUACUCUCUUUUAUCGUCAAUGGAUGCUACAUAAUUAUGGCAAUCACAGUCUUAUUUAUUUUAGAUGUUUGGCUUUUAUCUAUGCUUUGUGUUGUUGAUGUUCUCCUCUGCGUCCUUGUUUGUUUUGUUUCUUAUUCUGGUGCAUUGUAUUUGUGCAAAAUUCGACCUGAUAAUGAAUUACGUAUGAUUUCUGCUGUCACUGGCCUUUUGUAUGCUGGUUUGUUUAGUUUAGCUCAGGCUGGUGCCGUGCUUAUUAUCCAUCCGAUUCGACUUGCUGUUUUGUUUAGUUCAGGCUGGUGCCGCUUAUUAUUCAUCUGAUUCGACUUGCUGUUUUGUUUAGUUCAAGCUGGUGCCGUCCUUGGAUAUUAUUUGAUUAGUUUGCGAUUUUAAUCUACCUUUAGUUAUCCAUUAGUGGUUGCCGAGCUUUUCUCUGACAAUUGCCCAACACAGAAAUUCUAUUUUCUGACGCUGCAAGAGGCAACCGGAAGCUUCUCAGAGAAGCAUAAUUAAGCUCGGAGAAGGCGGUUUCGGAACUGUAUACAAGGUAAACAGACAAGCCUGGAGAAUACAGGGUAAAACUAUUUGCCGCACUCUGUUCUUCUACUGAAAAAAGAACCUCUGCUUCAGGGAAACCUUCCCAUGGACGUUUCUUUUCGCCUCCUAUCAAUGCAAAGGUACGCGCCAGGGUAUUCGCGGAAAAAGGAGGAGAUGCUACUAGUCUAUGAAUACAUCAGGAACGGGAGCUUCGACAACUUCCUUUUUGUAGAUGCUAGUCGAAGAAAUACGCUAAACUGGGAUGAAGAAUACAACAUCAUUCUCGGAAUUGCCAAGGGAAUAAUGUAUCUUCACGAGUGUAAGAAUCAUCCACCGAGACUUGAAAGCCAACAACAUUCUGUUUGUUGAUGCCAUGGAUCCGAAGAUUGCAGACUUCGGGUUAGCUAGGCUGCAAGUAGGAGGCCAUACAAACUCAAACCAUGACAGCUAGAGUUGUUGGAACAUACAGUAGUAAGCAACUGCAUACAAAAGGGCUUCCGUACAUUGCAGGUAUCAAGACGUGUGUUUCUAUGCCUAACUGAUCUAUGCAAUACACGGAAACGUGUCGCCAAAGAUCGACAUUUUCAGCUUUGGUGUCUUGGUGCUUGCUGAAAUUGUAACCAAGAGGAGGAACUGCGGUUCAGAUGAUUGCGAGACGGACACGGUGAGUCUCCCAAGUGAUGUAUGGACUUGUUGGACCAAAGGGACGACAUCGCAGAUGAUUGAUGAAUCACUCGAAGGACACCCGCGAAUCCAGGCGCUGAGAUGUAUGUAUCCACAUCGGGUUGCUGUGCCUGUCGUCCAAGCAGACCCUGACGACAGGCCUGACAUCCCAUCCAUCAUCCUCAUGCUGAACAGGGACGACAUGGAGCCUGUGGCUUAGUAUGUGAGGGUCCGUAACCAAUUUUCUUUUCUUUUAGAGAGUGUUGAGUAUACGAGGCUCAAGCAAUACAAUCAACGAUUCCAUCAAUCUCUCUAUUCCCUUUUAACAGAGAGCACGCAAAUUGCGUGCCUACGCUUUCUAGAAGGAGCUCUUUUACGGUACCGCUAAAUGAAUGUGAGCCAUCCAUCCAUCUUAAUCUGACGGCUAAUCAUACAUGGUACUCCAAUACAGAUCCUAGGGAGUACCAUCUCAAAAAAAAUAUGGAGUACCUUGAUGUUAGGGGUAAUACCGUAUGGAUGGAUGGCUCACGUUCAUUUAGCGGUACCGUAAAAGAGCUCUCAUGGGUGAUUUAUUUAUUUCUCAAUCAUAUAUCAAUUUAUUACAGAAAUACUAAAUAGAAUGAGAUUCCAAUUUAGUACGAACUUGCUUCUAAGGGUGUGAACGCAGACUUCAAACAAAAAUUUGUCAUGGACCCUAAUCCCAAAUCAAUAUCAUUCGCAAGAAGAAAAAUCUCAAAAUCGAGAUGAUGAUCAUGCGUGGCGGGGCAUGUUGAUCACAGGGUCAUCACCACUGAGGGGAUUAGGAUUAGGCCACAUCAGUUCACAAUCCAGGUUAUGCACCCGUGAUGUGCAUAUCAAUGGCCGCCACCGGUAGUUGCGCCUACGCGAAUUGGUCGGGGGAUGACACCGCCAUGGGAUACUGGCGCAUCAUGGAUGUAUGAGGAGGAGCACAGUCCUCCUGCAGCGCCUUAGUUCUAUUAAUCUGUAAUUAACAAGAAUUCACGGAUGGCUACAAGACGAAGUCUCCAGCCGCUACCACGAUGGGGGAACAAACAGUGCGAUCGCUGCGGCCUGAUGCGGUUGAUUCGGUUGGAAUAAAAGUCAAAACGAAUAAGACAAAAGUUCUAAAAUACCCCUGAAGAUGGAUGGUUGGAUUUAUCCGGCACUCCCUCCUCUCCCUAGGGAGUACCAGGGUACUGUAAAAACUCUCUUCUAGAAGAUAGAGGGUCUGUAACCAAUUGAAUUGGGAUAAGCAUAAAAGAAGUGACUAGAAUUCUGAUGGCGCCUUCCUCUCAGUCUCCCAUCCUUCCUCUGGUGGUCUGUUCCUCACCUACCCUUCUCCGUGCCUUCCCGGUCCUCUUUCUUGCCGAUCGCGAUCGGGUCGUCACAAUUGGAUACCAGGUACUUCAAAUUGGCCCCAAAAUUUGCUUUCGCUGUUUGCUCCUCAAUUCUCUCGGCAAGAAUCUAUAUUGAUGAAUAGAAGAAUACAAUUUGUAGAUUGCAUUUGAGAAACCAAGUCUUGACAGAGUAGCUUCAUGUAUUGCUUGAGUGUUUCAAGAGGGUCUUCGGGGCUUUACAUAGGCUGACCUUCGCCAACAAGUUUUCGAUCUUUUUUUUUUCGAAUAAAAUACUUUCAUUACUUAAAAGGAGACCUCACAGUCAAGUUUACAAAUUUCAACCACCUCCUCUGGUGCACACCGUAUCCAAACAGCAGUUUUUGGGAGCGUGUACGACCCAUUUGAGCAAGUACAUGGCUCGCUUUGUUCUGGUCACGUUUGAUGGACGUGAUUUUAUGCUGCCUGCUAGCCAGUAGAUGCCUGACUUCACUCACCAUUGCUGCCAUAGGUGAUCUGUCCAGAGAGGAAUCAGUAACCAUAUGCGCUGCAACAGCACAGUCCGUUUCCACGAUGAUACUCUCAGAACUCCGUUCGAUAGCCAGGGAAACCCCUUCCGUGAGCGCUGCAACUUCUGCUUCGAGACCACUUCUGUAUCUCUGAAUAAAACGACAUGAGGUAAAGAUAAUGGCACCUCUGUGGUCACGCAGAAUCAUUCCAGCUCCUCCAGUACCCUCCUCCUCCAUCCAUGAUCCAUCAAUAUUAAGUUUAACCCAGCCUAGAGGUGGCUUGCUCCAGCUCGCCAUGGACCUUGGCCUCUCUGUUGGUGUUUUAUUCAGUUUGCCCUUUCUAUCGCAGCCGCUGUGUGAGACCACCUCCUUCCCUUAGCAACAUCAGCAUUUGGGUUCUGCUGGAUGUUCAGAAGAGUUUCGAUGUAGCCACCUAAGAAUUUGGUAGAAGCUUCUACCGGCGGCGCCGGUUUGUGGUGGUAUAUCUCAUUCCUCACAUGCCAGUUCCGCCAUAAAGUCAUGAUCACAGAAAGGCGUUCUUCAGGGCUGCAACCAUCGAGCAGAUGAAUGAUCCAUUCGGGACCUGUGUUGGUGAUGGCUUCUAGCAUGGGUAUGCUCCAUGUUUGUGCCAUCGCCCUCCACAGACACCUCGCCCGUGGACAGCUGCACAGGGCGUGGAAAGAGUCCUAGCGUUCCAACCCACAUAAAGCACACGUGUCAGAGACCUCAAGUUUACGUUUACAUUUAUUGUCAAGUGUAGCCAAAGAAUUUGUCGCAACCCUCCAUGCAAAGACUCGUACCUUCGGGGGAGCAGGGGCACCCCCACACUGCCUUCCAGACGGCACGAGUGCCGUCCGGUGCCCUGCUAGUGGCGCACGUGGUGGUGCUGGUCCGCUCCUCUAGAGCGGUCUUGUAGGCGCUUCGUACGCUGAAUAUACCUCGCGAGUCUGGAGCCCAUGCUAGGACGUCGUCCAGCCGCCGUGGGCUGGCUUUGAUCGCCAAAAUACGUUCAACAUCUGGUGCAGAGAAAUGUUACUGAAGUAGUUCCACACGCCAUCGACCAUUGCCAUCAAGGAGUUCGGAUACCCGCCGUAUCCGGCAGGUACCUCGAGGAGUAAUCGGCCUGUAUGUCGUGGGGCGUGGGAUCCAUGGGUCUCUCCACACCCGGAUCCGCUCGCCAUUUCCCACUCGUCAAAUGAGCCCUUUGUUGAGCAGCUCGAGUCCAUGCUGAAUGGCGUGCCACGUCGGUGACGCGUUGCCUGAAAAAACUGUGUCCUUAAGAGAGCCAUUCGGGUAAUAUUUUGCUUUUAGCACUUGUGCACACAAGGACUCCGGCUUGAUCAGCAGGCGCCACGCUUGUCUUGCUAGUAGAGCUUGGUUAAAAAGACGAAAAUCUCGGAAACCAAUGCCCCCCUUCCCUUUUGGCUCAAGCAAUUUCUCCCAUGCAAGCCAAUGAGUCUUUCUUUGUCCCUGUUUUGAUCCCCACCAGAAAUUCCGUACUAGUCGGGUGAGAUCAUCACACACAGAACAAGGUAACUUAAAUACCCCCAUGAUAUAUGUAGGGAUGGCCUGCAAAACUGACUUGAUCAAUGUUUCUUUUCCUGCCUGCGAAAGAGAGUCUCCCCACACCAUGAUUCUUUUAGUCAAACUUGCCUGUAACAUCUGGAUUUUCCCUUGUGCAUACGACCAUCCGGAGUGGGUAGGCACCUGUUUGAUUUCAUCCUGUAUCGCCAUGGGGCAGCUAUCACCAAAGUGAAUGGAACAUUUAUGAGGGUUUAUGAGUUGACCAGUGGCUCUAGCAUACCGAUGGAGGACAUCUUUCACGAAGAUGGCCUGAUUAGCAUUAGCUUUGAAGAACAACAAAGUAUCAUCCGCAAAAAGUAGGUGUGAUAUUCCGGGUGCUCUGCUACAAGUCCUGACCGGAUGGAGCGCCUGUGACUGUACUCCUUGUCUCAACAGCCACUAGUAGAAAAAGGGUCAUCUGUCCCGGUUGGUAAGGGCCUUUUGUCCCGGUUUUUGAACCGGGACUAAAGGGUCGUUACUAAUGCCCUAGCCCUUUAGUCCCGGUUCUUACACGAACCGGGACAGAUGGGCCUCCACGUGGCCGGUGCGGCGAGCCCAGGCAGGAGGGCCUUUGGUCCCGGUUGGUGGUACUAACCGGGACCAAUAGGCAUCAACGCGUCAGCAUUUCAGGGGCUGGGGUUUUUNNNNNNNNNNNNNNNNNNNNNNNNNNNNNNNNNNNNNNNNNNNNNNNNNNNNNNNNNNNNNNNNNNNNNNNNNNNNNNNNNNNNNNNNNNNNNNNNNNNNNNNNNNNNNNNNNNNNNNNNNNNNNNNNNNNNNNNNNNNNNNNNNNNNNNNNNNNNNNNNNNNNNNNNNNNNNNNNNNNNNNNNNNNNNNNNNNNNNNNNNNNNNNNNNNNNNNNNNNNNNNNNNNNNNNNNNNNNNNNNNNNNNNNNNNNNNNNNNNNNNNNNNNNNNNNNNNNNNNNNNNNNNNNNNNNNNNUUUGGGGGGUUAAUUUAGGUGUUUCAUAUAUUGUGUUAGCUAGCUAAUUAAUAGAGGGAAGUGUCCUCUCUUAUCUCCGUGCUUGGUCGAUGCUACGUACUAUAUACGUAUAGAGAGGACUAGACACGCUAGCUAGUAAGCAAAUGAAGGAAACAGAAGAUCGUCAUGAACAUAUGCAUACAGAGAGAAGUGAUAUCGACCACCUCUCCUUCUCCGAGAGAUUGGUCGAACAACAAGUUCUCGUAUAUCUAUCCGACACUACCAGCUACAUAUAUACAAUAAUUAUCUCUUACAAUAUAAUCUCCUAAUUAAAUUCUAAGCACACAGGGUCCACAUAGUAUGCUCCGUUUUCAGCGAUCACUGGUCAAGGAAGAAUGCCGCCAAUUCCUCUUGAAUUGCUUGCAUACGAUCUUCUGGUAGGAGUUCAUCCCGCAUCCGAAAGAUCUAAUUUGAAGAAGGGGUCAAUACAUAUAUAUAUAUAUAUAUGAAUAAAUGAAACUCAACACAAAUGAUGGUAAUAAAAUAAAAUUGUGAAUAUUAUUGCUUACGCACUUCAUAUUGUUCGUCAGAGUAGCCCCGCUCACAGGUCGUGUAGCGGAUGGACUCGCAAACGUAGUAUCCACAGUAAUUAUUCCCGGGUUCCUGCCACAACCACUUUACAAGAAAUAGAGGUCAAUCAAACUGAUAAGCAAGCAUGCUAAAUGGUAUUGAUGAAACUAGCGCUUGAAUCACUAGGAGAUGCGCGGAACAUGCUAUUAUAGUACUUACUUUCGGGUGAAAUUGCAGCUUCUUCGGCAGUCCCGGAGCUUUUUUGGUGAAUUUUCUCCAAACCCUGCCAGACAAAGAAAACAAUUACUUGAUAUCAGGAAAUGAACAAAGUUGCUGAUAUGGUGGAUAAUGAUCGAUUUAACUUACUUCUCGAGCAUUUGAGUCAUGUCCGCAUAGUCCUGGGGAUCUUUUCGUCUCGAGUCUAAGACGGUUACUAGUCCCUGCUCAAGCUUAAUCUCUAGGAGAAUAUAGUGGAAGCUGCACAUGCAUGCAUAAGCCAUCAAUUACAUUACUAUCACCUGGACUAAUAAGGGAAACCGAAUAUGCACAAGACAGUAACACUCACUUGAAGUUGUAAGGAAAGAGUAUUAUAUCUUUGUUUUUAUUUAUUACCAACGAUCGUAGCAAGUUGGCCUUGGUAUUUUCGGCAUGAUAUUUAACCUCAGUUGCAUCUAUGAGAUUUGUGUUAAUGAAUCCAAUAUUACCGAUUUGUCUUUUCUUCAAUUCGGCGAUCUUCAAUCUGCAUAAUAUAGUGAGGAUAAUUAUAAAUACAUGCAAUGAAAGAGCUGACCUAUAUAGAGAGACUUAAUGACAAAAGUAGUACUACUUACAGACAGUAGCAAGUGAUCGUUGAUUUAUCGAGGGCCUUUUGAUUGAAAAACUAGAAGAACUCCUCAAAUGGAACAUUCAACAAUUCAGUUCCAACGAGGUCAUGCUCCUCUUUAACUCUCAGCGUCAAAGUAUUCCCCCCCAGACUCUCUGCAGGUUUUCAUGUACCAAUCAUGUAAUCUUCGCAUCAUCGUUGUUAGAGAUCUUUCAUCUUUGACGAGAGGCUUCCCGUAAUGGUAUUUGUGUUCGUCCACCUCCAAGAAAUCAUAAUGUACAUCGUCGGGCAGGUAAUCUCCAAGAUUGCUAUAACCGGGCACCAUCCUCGGAGCAUUAGCGACGAUGUCGCUAGACACGUUGAGCGGGGGACACGAUUGGUUCGCUUGUUCGCCGAGGUGGGCAAUUUUUUUCCCAACUCGUCGUUCUUUUAACCUUUGAUCACUGACAGUACUUCCCGACCGCUCCGCUCCGCUUCUUAUUUAUUUCUCCUCUUCUUCCUCUCCUCUUCUUCUCCUUUCUUCCUCUUCUUAUUUUCCUUUUUCCUCUCAUUCUUUUUCUUCUUAUUUUCCUUUUUCCUCUCAUUCUUUUUCUUCUUCUUCCUUUCCUAGCUAGAUAUAUAAAACUUUUCUAAAAAUGUAACUUUUGCAUAUAUACAUGGAAAAAAAUGUUAUCGGGGAGGGGGUAUAUCGACCCCCCCCUCUCGACCCUCUUUUCCUUCUUCUUCCUUCUUCCUUCUUCCUCUUUUCUUCUCCAACACAAAACACAUCUCAUCUCAUCUCAUUUCAUCCAAAAAUAAUUCUUUGCAUAUGAACAUACAUACAUUUACUUUUUUUCUUAAAUGUUGCAUAUGAACAUUUUCUUAAAUGAGCAUAUACAGCAUAUACAGAGCAUUAUACAGUGAACAUACAUACAUCGUAACAAAAAAAGUAAUGAAAAAUAGGCCGGUGGUCGGCGACGGCGACGAUGGUUGGCGGUGGCGCGCGCUUAAGGAUGGCGUGCGGGGACGGCAAUGAGAAGGAAAGGGGAGGAGGCAGGGGCUCACAGCGCGGGGAGGGGUCGAGGUCGCCGGCCGGAAUCGGUGCGGCGGCGGACGAACGGCCUCGGGGAUGAACGGGUCGCGGGAGCCGGCGUGGUGCUUUCCCGCAGCGACGGCGACGACGGGCGCGGGCGACGGCGACGACGGGCGCGGGCGACGACGAUGGCGUCNNNNNNNNNNNNNNNNNNNNNNNNNNNNNNNNNNNNNNNNNNNNNNNNNNNNNNNNNNNNNNNNNNNNNNNNNNNNNNNNNNNNNNNNNNNNNNNNNNNNNNNNNNNNNNNNNNNNNNNNNNNNNNNNNNNNNNNNNNNNNNNNNNNNNNNNNNNNNNNNNNNNNNNNNNNNNNNNNNNNNNNNNNNNNNNNNNNNNNNNNNNNNNNNNNNNNNNNNNNNNNNNNNNNNNNNNNNNNNNNNNNNNNNNNNNNNNNNNNNNNNNNNNNNNNNNNNNNNNNNNNNNNNNNNNNNNNNNNNNNNNNNNNNNNNNNNNNNNNNNNNNNNNNNNNNNNNNNNNNNNNNNNNNNNNNNGCGGACGACGUCGAUUUGGGUAGCCUGGCGGCGUCGAUGAGCUCGACGUCGUCGGGGCAACUGGCGAUGAGUUCGUCAAAUUUUCCUAAGUGCUACUUAUAUACCCAGGCCUUUGGUCCCGGUUCAUAGCACCAACCGGGACCAAAGACACCCUUUAGUCCCGGUUGGUGCCACCAACCGGGACCAAAGGCCUCUUUUCAGCAGCCCAAAGGGCGGGAAGCGGCGGCCUUUGGUCCCGGUUGGGGGGCAUUGGUCCCGGUUGGUGCCACCAACCGGGACCAAAGGCCCCCUUUAGUCCCGGUUGGUGCCACCAACGGGGACGGAAAGCCUUGCACAGCGGCGUGGUGGUGGGAGUUUAGUCCCACCUCGCUAGCUGAGAGAGAGCCGCACCUGUUUAUAAGGUGCGGUGCGCCUGAGCUGUCGAGCUCCUCUCUAAAGCAGGCUUACGGGCCUAACCUCUCUGUACAUGCCUGUGGGCCUACUGGGCCUUCUGCGGGCCUGAAUCCUGGCCCAUGGAUGGGUUUCUAGUCGUAUCCAGGCCGUGGUGGCCCAGUAGGUGGCAUAAUUUUUAUUUUUUGCCUGUUUUUUUGUUUUCUUUUUUUGCUUUAUUUAUUUUGUUUUGUUUCUACUUACAACAAAAAACUUAUUUAUCUUAUUUUAUUUUGUUUCUAAUUACUUAUUUAUUUUACUUUAUGAUAAUUCUUUUUGCCAUUAAAGUUUCUAACAAAAAAAGUUCUUUAUGAAAAUUCUUUUUGCUUUCAAUGAUUUUGAACAGAAAAUACUUCGAUAAUUUUAGUUGCAUCAAUUUUAUAUAAUUUUAGUUUCAAUAAUACUAGAGGUUGCUUAUAAUGUUUUGAACAGAAAAUACUUUGAUGAUUUUAGUUUCAUAAAUUUUANNNNNNNNNNNNNNNNNNNNNNNNNNNNNNNNNNNNNNNNNNNNNNNNNNNNNNNNNNNNNNNNNNNNNNNNNNNNNNNNNNNNNNNNNNNNNNNNNNNNNNUUGCUUAUAAUGUUUUGAAUAGAAAAUACUUUGAUAAUUUUAGUUUCAUAAAUUUUAUUUAUGUUAUUAAAGUUUAUUUUAUUUUGUUUCUACUUAUAUAUUUUAUUAAAGUUUAUAUUAUUUUGUUUCUAAUUACUUAUUUAUUUUAUUUGUUAUUUUUCAUGCACCAUUUUUCAUGCAUUUACUGAUUAUUUUGAGCUAUAAGACCCUAAAAUUGAAAAGCAUUUCAAAUGAACUUUGAAAAGGUUGAAAGUUGGCAUGGUAUCAUCAUUCCAUCCACAUAGCAUGUGCAAGAAAGUUGAGAGGGUUACGGCAAAAACUGGAUGCACUUCGUGUACAAAAUGGACAAUCUCUUUUGAAGUAUCAGGAUUUCAUACGGAAACUCGUCUGUUACAAAGGGAUUUCAUUUUUUAAAACUUAUUUGAACUCUUGACUUUGUGUGUGUCCAAAAUGCACCAUUAAAAGCCACAUCAUCAAUUUUCAACCCUUUCUGACUUCAUUUGUUAUUUUCAUGCAUUUAUUGAUUAUUUUGAGCUAUAAGACCCUGAAAUUGAAAAGCAUUUCAAAUGAACUCUGAAAAGGUUGAAAGUUGGCAUGGUAUCAUCAUUUCAUCCACAUAGCAUGUGCAAGAAAGUUGAGAAGGUUACGGCAAAAACUGGAUGCACUUCGUGUACAAAACGGACAAUGGUAUCAUACUCGUGUGUUACAAAGUUGGCAUGGUAUCAUCAUAAUAGUUGCGGGAGAAAGUCUUCACUUUUUCUUCGCUUGUGUCAUUUGCUUAUUGCGCCGUAACCAUGGAUAAUCUUCAUCGUUUAUCAGGAUGCUUGGGUCAGCCUUGACUUUGAAGGGAGGAAUUUCAUGAAACUUUUCAUAAUCUUCAGACAUGUCUGUCUUGCCCUCCACUCCCACAAUGUCCCUUUUUCCUGAAAGAACUAUGUGGCGCUUUGGCUCAUCGUAUGAUGUAUUCGCUUCCUUAUCUUUUCUUUUUCUCGGUCUGGUAGACAUGUCCUUCACAUAGAUAACCUGUGCCACAUCAUUGGCUAGGACGAACGGUUCGUCAGUGUACCCAAGAUUGUUCAGAUCCACUGUUGUCAUUCCGUACUGUGGGUCUACCUGUACCCCGCCUCCUGACAGAUUGACCCAUUUGCACUUAAACAAAGGGACCUUAAAAUCAUGUCCGUAGUCAAGUUCCCAUAUGUCCAUUAUGUUAUCAUAAUAUGUGUCCUUUCCGUUCUCGGUUGCUGCAUCAAAGCGGACACCGCUGUUUUGGUUGGUGCUCUUUUGAUCUUGGUCGAUCGUGUAAAAUGUAUUUCCAUUUAUCUCGUAUCCUUUGUAAGUCAAUACAGUCGAAGAUGGUCCCCUGGACAACGAGUACAACUCAUCACAAACAGUGGUGUCACCUCUGAGACGUGUUUCCAACCAACUGCUGAAAGUCCUGAUGUGUUCACAUGUAAUCCAGUCGUCACACUGCUCCGGGUGUUUGGAGCGCAGACUGUUCUUGUGUUCAUCGACAUACGGGCUCACUAAGGUAGAGUUCUGUAGAACUGUGUAGUGUGCUUGAGACUAAGAAUGCCCGUCCUUGCAUAUUAUUGAGUCCGCUCCUAGCACUACAAAAAAAAAAUACACUUCCGUGAUGAUACGUGUUUGUCACAGUAGGUCGCGUUUUUUGUCAUGCAUGUACAUCCAUGACAAAUUUAUGACAGAAUCAAG
rnacentral:lncRNA from 1 species